rnacentral:lncRNA from 1 species
UUUUUUUUUUUUGGCUGAAACCCGACCAGAGAAUUAACAUGUUGGUGUUUAAGUUGUGUUAUAGACAUAUGUUUAUAUGGAUAUCAACAGAAAUAUGAAAAAUAUAACUUACGGAAGGGCAGCAGGGCAGGGGAAGCAAUCGAACCAAGAGAGUAGGUGGUAACAGGGGAGAUCAGGUAGUCACCUACUCAAAAGAAAGAAACUUGUAGAAAGCGGAAAUCAAGAAUGAAUGCUGUUGGCAGCAAUAUAUCUUCCCUCCUAAAAAGAGUAUGCCCAAGACAUGUAAGGCUUGCACAAAGAGGUGGUAGGUCGGUCAAAGUAUAGUAGUUGUUGUUCAUGAUACAUACCUUGGCUUGCAGAUGAGUUGUCGAAGGAUGUAUUCUUGGUGAGGAAGUAGAAAUGCUGGGAAAUGCAGAUAAAGGGGCAUCCAGGAGGUCAUCGUCCAACACGAUAUCUGAAAGUGGGGGGGAAUCGAAGUACAAAAGGGAGUAUUGACUGAGCGAACGGGAUCGAUCUAUCUUUGUAUGUAGAUAAGAAGCAUACCAUCAAGUUAUUCACAAAUAAAAAUCCCUAAGGAAAAAGAAUUCGUCGAAGUCCAAUAAAUGAAAUGAUGGAUUCACUCCGAGGCGGCUGGUGGCGUUCGAUUCUUCCCUAAGCAUAAGUCCUCCAUAAUGCCGAUGACAAACGUGAAGGAAAAUAAUUUAAGAAGGACUUCGGACAUGGUUUAGCUCGACAUGUGACAUUUGAAGGGAGAUUGGGGCCGCGCGAUGCAUUUCAUUAGUAAGUCAUGAAAAUACGACCUUUUGUCGAGAAUCGCAAUUGCAUCCGAAGGUUAAGUGAAACAUAAUCUUAUGAUCUUUAUGUCCUCGACACCUCCCGAUAGAAAGCUGUGCCAAACCAAUCUUAUGUCAUUGGCAACUAUUUAAGAGGUGCAAAGCACGCGUGAGCGUUUGUCAUGGACAAAGAAAAGAGUCGAUAUGAUGAGUACGAAGACUGAGCUGAGCCACCCAAACUCGUGCUUGCUUUAUCGUGUCUUGAAGAAACGAGUAAAUAGAAGGGUAAAGGUAUGUUUUCCGGCACAUGACUUCGGCUGCAUCCAAUCUUUGGUGAGCGAGCGGCCUACGUUACCGCGAUCUAUACUCCACCUUCCCACCUAUUUUUCUUCCUUCCAUCUGUUCUUGCCUAUUCUUCUUCUUCCUUUUUCUUUUUUUCUUUUUUUUUUGGUUUGACGAAAGAAAGAGAUCGAUCGGCUACAAACGCGCGACCGUCGGAUAAAUAAGCAUCCCUGAAUCGAAGUCCUCCACUUGUAAAACUUUGAGACAGGUUGGGUGGUCUUCUUCUUUGGUCCACCCCAUACCGGAGAAGUAGCGCACACAAACACAUCGGCCCAGUCUCUCCCUAUACAUUACACAUAAAACAAAGAGGGAGAGAAGAUAAAGACGAUGACAGGCAGUAUCGAGCAGCCCACCGGAAUGCUUUGCCGUCGCCCCUGGUUUCCCCUUGGGCAACCGCUUCUUCGGCUGGCUGACUUAGUCACGGUGGAGAGUUUCUCGGGUGACGUGGUUUCUCAUAGACGCCUAGGUGCGGGUCCCACAGUAAUCAGAUUACGGACUACGAGAGUCUCACGUAAACCGUGAAACUUUUGCAGGGUGGUUCGGUCGACCCGAGUAGCAUCUUCCUUUCCUCCUCCUCCAGCAUCCCCACCUAAAUGGCCUCCCGUCCCUAUUUAUAGCCCCACCGCCAUCUCCGUCACCUUCCUCCAACCGGAAUCAUCCCCGUCCCGGACUCCCUCGCUCUCGUGGAGGAGGAGGAUAUCCCCACCCUUCCCCUUCCCAAAAAGAGGCAUAGGAGACCGUUCGUUUCUCCUCCUUUGAAAAAAGCAAAGUACAUAGACUUUGCUCGCUCAUGAGUAACUAGAACUCGGGUGUACAGAUCCAUCAUCCCAUCCCUCUUCUCCUACUUGCCCACCUUGCGACGACAACUGCCUUCCUCUUCUUUUCGUCCUGCCAAAACCCAAUCUUUUUCCCGUUGUCCGAGUCUUGGGAGUCCGGCAUUUCUUGAGUCGCUCGAACUCCCGACUUCGAUUGAUCGGCACCGGGAUCUCCUGGGUCGGGUUUUCUUGUCUCAGGCUUUUCUGUUUUUGGAUGAGGGUCAACGGCAGCUUGGCCGACCGGAAGGGAAGCGACCAAGUAGCGACGGGGAAAAGCACGUCUUCCUCCAACUCCAAGAAGAAUAAGAGGCGGCAGAAGAAGUCGGCGGCCAUGCCGACCGCCGUGCAGAGGGUGUUUGAGGCAUGCAAGGAGGUGUUUGCCGAUGGUGCGCCUGGCAUCGUCCCAUCGCCGGAUGAGGUGGAGCGCCUUCGAUCCGUUCUCGGUACUACUAUACGCUACGGCCGGAUCUUUCCUUCUUUCUUUUGCCUAUUCUGUAGAAUGGAUUGGAACAGAUUGCUUUGCAGCAGUUGCACAUCGAUGUUAAGUAAAACAGAUCGGAUUAGCGAAUUCGCUUCCGCUAAAUCUUAGGCAUGAAAGAACCGUUGACAGCUUAAAGCGGCGACUUCGGUUGGAUCGAAAAGAGAAGAUAUUAGUUGAUGCCCACUGCUCUUCCGAGACUGUUGUGUAGUUUGUAAGUGAGGUCGCCAAUCUUUCUUAGGACACUGUUCUUUUCAUGAUAUCAAUUGAUAUUACAUCGCAAGAUUGAACUGAAUCUUCUCUGCCAUCAUAUAGUUGCUUACCAUCAAGUGUAUUUCUGUAAACUUGUGAAUGGGUUUUCUUUUCUGAAAAAGGAUUUCAAUGGCUAGAUCAUGACUUUUCUUUGUCAACGGGUUUAUGUUUUACUGUGAACAAGUAAACAUGAUCAGGUGGGGAUAUUGCAGGGAACCUUACCACACCUCUAUGCGCGCUUUGAUUGCUAGCUCCCGGCGCAGUCAUGAUAUCGCUGCCCAGGAUCUUCUUUGGUUCUCUUAUCUCCUAAAUCCUAUGGAAUCUUCAUGAAUGAGAUAUAAUAGGAAACGGAAGAUUUGGGUAGCAAUUAGUUGAAUAUAGGAAAUUUACUUUUUGUCACAUAUUGAUUCUCGAUCUCUAAUGUGGUGGUCGUCCCACGCAGAUGCCGUAAUGCCAGCAGAUGUCGGUCUAAGUCCAAACCUGUCAUUUUUUCGAGAUGUCGGGACGGGUGGACCUCCUCCAGUGACAUAUUUGCACCUAUACGAGUGCCCCAAGUUCUCGGUAUCCCGCUGCACUCUGUGGAUUCUGCUGCCAGAUGCAUUUGAUUUGAAGUCUCUCGUUGCAUUUUUGCAGAUUGGUAUCUUCUGCCUCCCGCAAGGAGCUGUAAUUCCACUGCAUGAUCACCCGGCAAUGACUGUUUUUAGCAAACUUCUCAUGGGCUCCAUGCACGUCAAGUCAUACGAUUGGGUUAAUGAUCCGCUUGGCUCCGACCAGAGAAUCAAAUCCUCAACCGGUGUGUGCCGCUCCAUGCUCUGUCGGAUUGGUGGAGUUUGUAUGAAAUACUAAGGAAGCGUUUGAUCGAUGAUCCUCUCAAGACUUGAUGUACUACUGCUAGUAUUGACGAGUGAUGGUUAAUGUUUAUAAAUCCGCAGGCGCGAGUUUGGCAAAGUUGCACACCGAUGCCAUCUCUGUUGCUCCCUGCGAGACGUCUGUUUUGUACCCUGCCGCUGCGGGUAACUUGCAUUGCUUUACUGCAGUGACUUCCUGCGCAGUGUUGGAUGUUCUCGGACCACCAUACGACGACGAAGAAGGGAGGGCUUGCACUUACUACCGGGGGAAUGCGUGCUCCAAUCUUCCGGGUAUGUAUGCCGUUCACCGUUCUCCCUAUGUUACUUACGAUGAUCCAAGUGCUGCGCGGUGCAAUGUACGUAGUCGUCGGAUCGGAUAGGCGAUGCGUGUUUGGUUUUUCGUUUCCACGAAGAAAGUGUUUUGUGCGGUAUGUAUGCAUGGUUGCUUGUUUCAGGCGAUGGGCUAACGCGGUGUGGGGAGAGGGAGGAGUACUAUGCAUGGCUGGAAGAGAGGGGAAGCGAGCCUGAUGAGCUGGUGGUACGCGGUGCUGAGUACAAGGGCCCCAGAAUAGUCGACCACUGAAUUUGUACUGUGACUGUUGCAGCAAAGAUGAACAAACAAACAAGGUUAAAGAGAAAGAUGAUGCUCCUCGGAGAAGAGGAGAAAGGAAGGACCACAUAGUUGUGUUAUUCAUCACCCUCAGAGGAUCUCUUGAUUCCAUGAUCGAUAUAUACAUGGAGCAAUAAACACCCCCAUUUUGUCCUUUUGGAUGUUUAUUUUUCUGUAUUCGUUCGUAUGGGCAUAAGACUAGGUUGGAGAGUACAGUAAUAAAUCUGUUGAGGAGGCACGAGAAUGACAGUACCACUACCACGGGAGCCUUUGUGGGGUGUGUGUCCGCAUAAGCAAGGUGAGAUGCGACUUCCCACGGCUGCUUGCUUGUUGGAGCAGAGAGAGAGAGAGAGAGAGAUGACUUCUGGAAACCACACCAUGCAUGGUGGCCUCUCGUGUGUCAUCUGUAGAAACGAGCUGCUCUUGCGUCUCUCUCUCUCUCUCUCUCUCUCUCUCUCUGGUGCAAAAAGGCACUCCACUCUCGGAUGUAUUGAAUUGAAUUUUCUUCUAUCGUUUAAUAUCCGGAGCUAAAAUGUUAAUGGGAAUUACACGAUUACAUGUUUGUGUUUUGGGAUGAACAAGUUAAGACGACGAUACCUACCCCAAGUGAGGCAACAGGUUCUAUAUGUCGUUGCCUUUGCCUGAUGUCUAAUAUAAGACAAUUAUAAUAAAAAUGCAUGUAUUCUCAAAUCCAUCUAAUAUGGACAAUUAUAAUAUAAUACAAGUAUUUUUAAAUAUAUCUAAUAUAGACAUUAUAACAAAAUGCAUGUAUUGUCAGUCAAAUUAUUUUCUUUAUUACUUAGUUAUGUCAUAUAUUUCACCUCAGUGGUUGAAAACAUAAUAGUAGAUUGGAGCUUGGCUUUUCGAGUCAUUACAAUAUUACGAUAAUAAUGAAUCUCAUAAUUAAAUUUUUAAAAAUCUAUAAUACAUACAUAGAUAGAUAGAUGAUAAGAUUUCUUCAAUUAUACGAGGACUCUAUUUUGUUGAGGAAAAUCCUUCCUCCUAAUCUAUAUAAAUAAAUAGGAGAUAGACAUGUUAAUGUAUUCAAGCUAAAACUUCUUCAAUAAAGCUUCUUCAAUAAUUAUUCUUUUCUAUUAUUUUCAUCAUGGUAUCAGAGUAAUGAGAAAAGCGAAGUUUCGGCAAUCGCAGCAGCAGUAGCGAUUUGCUCUUGCUCUACUCAUGAAGCUUCUCGCUCGUAAACCAUUCUUUACAUCGAUCCAAGAUUAGUAUCUUGACAUAAGCAAAAUCUCUCUAUUCUAUUGAGAAAAAUUCUAUAUUUUGUUGAGAGAAAUCAUUCCUCCUAAUCUAUAUAAAUAGGAGAGGGACAUGUUUUCAAGCUAAAACUUCUUCAAUAAUUAUUCUUAUUUUCUAUUAUUUUCAUCAAUUAGUUCCCCCAAAUAGUAAACAAGCCUUUUGAGUUACUCACAAGUACUCUAUUUAAUAGCUUUUUAGUGAGCUUUUCUCAGAUUUGCUAUGUAUUGACUCAGUAUACUAGUAGUAUAAGCAAGAUCUGAGUACAUACAGACCAUGACGUACAUUUGAAUAAGGAACUUUUUUUAUUUAUUUAUUCUGCUUUUUUCUUAUCUUAGAAGCAUAAUGACUCUAACGAUCGAAAAUGUGUGAUCAAAGAUUACAUGUCGAAUAAUUCUAUCAUUUUUUUUAUGUACAUCUCUUCAAAUAAGUAUAACUUCUUAAUAAAAUUAUCAUGAUACAUCUCUAAGAAAUCAUUUUUUCGCCACAAGUCCUUCGUUUCAAACUCCUCCUUAAGUAGUUAUUUAAGCAUGUCUAUUUCAGACUUCUCUAUUGUAGUAACAAACAUAUCAUCAAUGAUAAUAAUAAAUAUAUCAUGAAUUACUUAAUUUUCUUUAAAUAUAUGCAACUAUCAUAAAGCUAUCUAAUAUAUCCUAAAUUAGGUAUAAAUUGAUCAAAUUUUUUAAACCAUUAUCUUGGAGACUAUUUGUGGCUGUAGAGGGAUUAAUUUAGUAAAAAAAACAUGGUUCUUCUUUUCGUUUUUCAUAAACCUUAGUUGCUCCAUGUAGAUAUUUCUUCUAAGUCUUUAUAAAAAAAAUGUUUUCAUAUCUAGUUACUCUAACUGAAUGUAGCUACUAAGGCUAAUAAUUCUUGAAGAGAAGUAUGUUUAACAACUUGACAAAUGCUAAUAAUCAAGAUGUUAUAUCCUUCACCCACCAAGUGAGCCUUAUAGCUACCCUCUAGAUUUAAAAAAAUCACUUAGCCUAACUAACUUUUUAUUGGGUGAAGGCUUCACUAAUUCUCAUUAUUCAAUAGUGAAUGAAAUUAUUAUGAUGUUGAUUCUUCGAGUUUGGACUAAGUCUCAUUGUAUGAAGUUGGCUCUUUUACACUCUAUAACUCUACGAUAAUAGUGAUUGCAUAAGUGAUGAUAUUCAUAUUCUUUGGGUUCGAAUAUAGUCUAUGACAUGACCAGCUAAGGGCAAAACUACAAGGGGCUCCUCGGUGGGUUAUGGUUCCUCCUCAUUUUCAUAUUUUGGAGAUGUAGGAGUAAUGACAGGUUCUUCAGGUACCAUGAAUAUUUUAGAAUCAAAACUCCUUGUUCAGUCAGUUGUAUAUCUUUUGCAACAUUCUCCUUAUCUUUCUACAAUAAUAAUUCUUCAUUAAAAAUAAUAGCCUUAUGUAUCUCAGUUAUAAAAUUCUAGUACCAAACUUUAUACUCUUUUAACUCCAAGGGAUAAUCUAGGAAAAUAUAGCAUUUUGACAUAUAUUCUAGUUUAUCAUCCUUAACCUAACAUAUAUUUUUUUAUUAAAAUAUUAUAUUUUUCUAGGUUAUCCAUAUGAGCAAAAGACUUUAAAAUUUUGUAUCCAAAUAAUCUCAAAACUAAGAUAAAGGGAUAUUAUUUUUGAUGAAUAGGUGCUAUUGUAAAAGGAUAAGGAGGAGGCUACGAAAGAUGCAAAAUUAACUGAACAAGAACUUGUCAUUAUUCAUAUAUCUCCUAAAGAUGAAAAAAAAAAUGAAUCACAACAAAUCUAAGAGUAGUGCCCCUACAGUUUUACCCUCAACCGAUCACGUUAUGUAUCACAUCCCAAUCCAAAGUACACAAAUGUCAUCAACUACACACUCACUGUCGCUAAAGAGUUUCAUAGUACAUCAGAGUCAAUUUCAUACAAGAAUAUUCUUAAUAGUCCAAACUAAAAAAAUUGACAUCAAGCAAUGAUCAUUUUAUUCACUAUCAAAGAAUUGUACUUUGAGAAUUGAUGAAGCCUCCACCCCAUAGCCAGCUAGUUUGGUGUAAAUGCAUAUUUAAGAUCAAGAAAGAAAACAACUAUAAGACUCACAUGAUGACUAAGAGAUAUAAUCAGAUUUAUUUUAUUAAAAACACGUGAUGUGAGAAUAUAUAUAUAUAUAUAUAUUAUUUUUUUAUUUUUUUUCAUAGAGCAUUUUUUUUUUCAUGGCCAUCCUGGCCCUAUCGACCAUCAUCCUCUGUCAACUCUUGAUCGCAUCGAUCACCCCCCUCCAUCAAACCCAUCUAACGACGGAGGUUUAAUGACCCUCAUUGUACCCCGUUGAACUAAUGAAGGAGUGGUCCUCACUUAUCCUCGGACUAGCAAGGACGUUUGAAACUUAGGAGUUUAUUUUUCUGAAAAUUCAUCUUUCUUAAAAAAACAAAUAGAAAUAAAAAAAAUCUCAAUGUUGUGGCACUGACCAACACGAAUCUUCACGGCGCAAACAUUUUCACGGACCCGAAUCUUUUUGGAGGUUUGAGUUGCGUCGGAUUCGGAUUCAAUUAUUUAUCAACAUCCAACAAUAUGCUACCGGGUCGAAUACUAAUCCCGGAAUGAAAGCAUUCCACGAUUUCUUCGGCCUUCCCGUUGUGAGUUUUGUCGGUGCUGAGACGAUGGGCGACCCGAUCGCGGAUCACAAGCAGUAACCCCACUCCUCUUCUUCAACCUACUCCGUAUCUAUCCUCCAAUUUGCGCUUGUGCUAACCAGACGAUGGAGCAAUUUUUACCUUUUUCUGUUUCCAAGCAAGCCUCGGUGCAUCAAAUGCAAGCAAUCUUUCUGACCCGAGAUCAUAACAUUUUCCAAGGCCGGCAAAGUUAUGAAGGUAGCACUUUAUACCGCUGCUGUUUGGGCCACUUAGCAGUGUUUUGAACCUUCGUCACUUGAAUGGAAGACUCAGUUUUGGAGCCCCCUUUACCAGUACAAGCUUCUCAAUUUCUCUCAGAAGUUGAAUCUGAAACAUAUGAAGCUCGCCAGGCUGCCAGUAAGUAGCCUCGGAAGUUAUUUCUUUGACUUGUAUUGCCACAGUGAAAUAUGCAUAAAGAGAUAAUUCCAUCUCCAGUCUGCUUCUUUUUUAUUGUACUUUGACCCGCGAGUUAAGAGUAAGCUAUUAGGUUCUAGGAGAAUCUCAUUGUCCCAUCUAAUCAUCUCACGAAAGACUUCGAUGAAUUGUUAUUUCCACAUACAUCUGUAAGUUAAAUCUGUUGCUUGCAAAGCAAUGGCACACAGGACAUGGUUUCUAGUUAAAGAACCAUGAGCUUACUCAAGUAUCUGAGAUGCUAUGAGUUUAUCUGCAGGAGAUUAGACUGGUUAUUAGUUUGAUAGAUUUGACAUCGUGCAUUUUUGGAGGAACAGAAUCAGCAAAUCUAAUGACUAUUUAGGCAAAUCUUACAUCAUUUCCACAUCGGCAUUGAAGGAUUGGUUUCUUGGAGGUUUGGGGUAUACCUCACUGUUCUCCUAUUGGCAGAAAAGGCUCCUCUACAACCAUGACCACACAUCCUUAUCGUAACUUGAAACUAAGGAUUCGAUUGGACAUAGCAUAUAGUCGAUCUGAAGGACGUCAGAGUUCAAUAGACGGGGUUGGUAUAUACAUUUGCAUCCUGCACAUAGCCAACUUGAUUUCAUGCCCGGUUAAGAAGACAGGGUCAGUCGGUGCAGAUGCAUGUUAGUGCUAUCUUCUUGAAAAGACUUUUGGCAUGAAAUUGUCAUUUUAGCUGAUAACCUGUUGGGUCCGGACCAUAUAGGUGGGCUUAGACCGAAUGAUUUGGGCAUUAAGUCUAAAUCUGAUUUAUUAAAAAAAAAACGAAAAAUAUGACGAUGUAAAAAAAAAUAAAAAUAAAAGAUUAAAAUUUUGAGAUUUUUGUUAGAGAUCAAAAGCUUUAUCAAUUUUGACUCAAAUUUUAUAUAAAGAAUUCUUGUAACAAGCUCUAUAAUUCUUACGAUGCUGAUCUAUAGUUUUAUCUCUGAUAUGUUUUUCUGAUAUACCCACUUGAUGAAACCUAAAUCUUUCCUUUGAUGAAAUCUAUCUAUUAUGAUAAUGGUAUAUUACUAUUGAAUCAAGAUAUGUGUUCUUGAUGUUAUUGUGAUUGUGAUCCUCUAAUUAUUUAUAGAAGAGUUAUUAUAAACAUAUUAUCAUUAUUGGUGAUAGUAGAGGUCUGAAAUGAACUACGGUCCCGUAAUUUUUUCGUAUUAAAUAUUUACAUAAAAAAAUUUUAUAUCUCACUUUACGAUUGAUUCAUUAUUUUACUAUUUAUACUACACUUGUUAAUAUUUGUUUUGGUAACAAGUUAAUAUUUUGAUAAGAAACUCAUUUUGAUUUAUUUUACUAAAAUAAAAUUUUCCAAUAAAACCAACCAUUCAUACCAUUUAUAUGUUCUUUCUGAUGAUGAAUAUAGAACUUUAUUUACAAGAACACUAGUCGACCAAGAUUUUAGGGUCCUGACAAUGGAAAUACAAUUCUUUAACUCCGGAGUUACCUAUGCCAGCAUUGACUUGUCCUAACACUUCUUCGAGUGUCAUCCUGAAUGCAGUUCAGCAGGAGAGGUCAUGGGAAUUAGGUGUUUCGACAGCUCGAUGCUGUGUUACUGCUGGGUAGGGGGCAUGAUGGUUAUGGGUACCCUCAUAGGUGGUUAUCACAAAGCUUGAGUCGUCUCGGUGUCUCUCUACUUUCUUCUUGACUUGGCAUCCUUCGCUUGAGCAGCGAUAGUAGUUCCUGCAAUCUACUUUAUUAGUUUGUCUUCGCAAACCAAGCAGCACAAUCAACAUGUAAGUGCUCUUUCGAAAGUAAUGUAUGCGCGCAACCUUCGAAAGACGAGCACUUCACCAAUCUAAUAAAAAAUGAAAGGUCCUUUCAUUCAAAUCCUUGUGGAUGUGGAACGAACUCUGUUCGUAUAAGUUGAAAUUGAAUAGAUUUGCACUUGCUUAAGAGGUUUGACCUCUAGAGAUAUGUGCAUCUGAUGAGAGUAUGAUUCUUGUUUUUGUGUAUUGACAUGCCAUAUUAUACCUAAGAUUAAGAGUUUCACCUGGGAUUUGGGCUGCUUUUCACUGCUUUUUUCCCAUACUUCCUCCACUUGUAUCCAUCAUCUAAUAUCUCAAGCUCUGAUUUUGUUUUGAAUGCGACUUUAAAACUGCUGCUCCUCUUCGAAGAUCUCUUUCCGGCAUCCUUGCUUCUGCAUGAUCGAUCACAUAUGAAAUACCAAACACAUGGUAAAGUAAAUAUCGUUAAACAUCCAUGAAUCGAGUCUCAAGCCAACUAGUGUAAAGACUUGGCCUAAACACUUGCUUGUUGCAAUCUGUGAUCUUGGUUUUGUUGGCGGCGCAGUCGGCGGCCUGCACAAGAGGAUACCGGUGAACGGAUGGAUGGCUCAAAGAGGCCUCUUCGUGUCCGUCAUCGGCGAAGGUGAGAUAGUCGUCGACCUCAAACACCCCAUCUUCUGGCAGAGCGUUCUCAGAAGAAUUGGACGGCAUCGAAGAGGAAGAGGAAAACAUGAUGAGCAGUGAGAGCAUAAACUUAACCUCGACCGGCGGAAACUUCAUUCAGCGAAGCCCGAGCGAUCCUUCUUGCGCCAAGUCCGUCGGCCUUUUCUUGGGGACCUUCGUUGGCUUGGGGGCAAAGACUUGGUUGACUUGUGAGUCAAUCCACUGGUUGCGAGCAGUCUGCGUGGAAUACAGGUCAAGGCGCAGACUGGUCAAGAGAAUAUUGAAGUCCAAUCGUAUUCCGGCAUCGGUUCCUCCCUCCUUUAGGCCUUUGGCAUCAAACCAAUGGAGCCAAAAGGCGAUGCUUUUUGUUUUCACUAUGAAAGCUUUUGAGAAGUGAUCUUUCCGGCCCCCAUGACGCAGAAGAACAGGGAGUUGUAGACUUGGCCGAUCGACGACUUGCACGACGGACGAAACAAGUUCCUGCGAGGUACACAGGAAACCAAUCGAGCCCAUUAUUGUCCAGUCAAUGCGCAUGCGGUUGUGAUUUGGCAGUGGUUUCGAAGGACAAAGUUGUGGUACCCCCAGUCCUGCAUGCAUCAUGAAGGGUAGGCAAACAGCUCUCUCGAGAUACGUGUGCAAACAGUAGGAUUCCAAGCAGCUCAUUCGAUUCGAUGGCGGCAAGUAGACGUUAUGUCGCACAGGUUAAAUAUCUCAGUAUAAUUGGUAUCGCCAUCAUUUUACUGGAGACAGAAAAAUACGUAGAGUUCCAGGAUGUAGCCACUGUUGUUCGAUAGCAACUCCAUCCGCCAUCGCCUUGACUGAAUCCACCCAUCGUCCAUUCGCAGCGGACAAGGAUGUCCAACCACAACUCCAGCGACUAGUCCAAACGACUGCAUCUUUCUUUCAUGUCCACCAUCCUGUGGAACACGGCAUCCGUCCCAGCGCAAUCGGGAAGACGGGAGAGGAAGGGGCAGUUCCGUCGUAACGUAUUCCGUGUUCCAGUCGGGUUACUGUAUCCGUCGGUGACCUGUUGUAAUCGUCCUCCUCCUGCUCUGCCAGCCUCUACUUUAUACGACCGGCAUAUCGAUCCCGGAACGCUGGCGUGACUUGCUGGAAUUACCACAAACGAAACGCCCGCCAACGAGUUGCUCUCACGGCACCGCUCGUACAUACAAGAAUUCAAGUCCAACGCAGGAAGCGUGCUUCCGUGGUCAAACGAUAUUCCAGUACGUCCUGGUCGGUUGUCCCGUCAACCACGUGGAUAGAUCACGGUCGAUCGACGUUGGCCACGCUUCCCUGGUCGAUGACAUGGAUUGUGCCACGGAGAUAAGCUGCUGCUGCGCGCUGGUCAUCUGUUUUAGUUGACCAGGGCGCGCUUCUUUAGACUGGUGUUUGUAGACAGACACGACACACCAUCAUCGAGUGGGGAGGCACACGAGUCGCUUCGUAUGGUUGCGGCAAUGUAGAUGACGAAAGGAAAAUACAUAUACAUAUACAUGUAUAAGAUGGAUAUGUCGUUUGAUAACAUGAUUAGGGAAGAACGUGUGGCCUCAAUUAGGUGUCCACAUGUGCCCAGCUCAGUUCCCUUGAAGCGGCAUCAUUAUUACAUCAUCGCCAUGCCUCUCCUUGUGACACAUUGGGAUGCACCAUGAGUUUUUAAUGAUAUUGCAUGACUAACGUGUCUCUAUCACCAAGGCAACGAUAAAACUGUGUUGACUUAACUUCAAUGCUAGAAGAUGCUAAUUAUUAUUUUCUCAUGGUGUGUUUAUUUUGCUACUACAACAAUCAUAGACUCCGAUGAUAUAUGCCAUGAUGUAGCAUCUACUUAUAUCAUGUGAUUUAUAGAAGGUCCUCAUCUAUCAUGAUUCCUUCACCAUAUUGGUUGCAAUUGCCUUCGUAUAACAAGCUCUUAUGCAUCAAAGAAGAAAGUUAUCUCCUCCUUCUCUAGCUAUUUAUUAGACCAGGGAUUUAAACCUUCUAUUUUUUUCAUAAAGGAUACCUUCUUAAAAUAAAAGGACAAAAAAAAUAUAUUGAAAAGGGCAUAGUGGCCUCUCAUCAAAAGGCAUAGAGGAUAAACCCUUGCCAUGUGAAGAAGCCAAUAACUCCAAGAAAGAAUAAUAAGAAACAUCUUUCUUUCUACCUCUCUACCUUAUUAUAAAUAGUUCCUCUUGUUUGUUUCAUCUUGAGCUCAUAAAGAUAGAGCAACAAAACAACUCGAACAUUGAAGGGUUGCCCGUCAACCUUUGAUAUCUCUUCUUUGUUUGUGUUACAAGUGAGUCUUCAAGCUCCUAAUCCCGAUAGCAAAAAAUGAGGUAUUGUCGAAAUUCCUCAAACAUAGAACCGACUAUGAUUAGGUCAACAAAAUUAUUAGAUCAAUAUAUAUGUAAUAGACUUUCACCUUGUUAAAAUGUCCUCUUUGAUUAAAAUCAUCCUAUUUCCACCUUCUAUGAUUAUAACAAUCACCAUCAAUAUUAAAAAUUUUUUAAGACAAUCCCGAUUGAACAAAAAUUAAAGAAAAAAUAAAAGUAAACCAAAAAAAAAAAAUGAUGCUAGCUAUAGAUUAAUGAUAAAAAUGAGGACAAAAAAUAAUGUGAUAAUAGUAGAAAAUAGACAGCUAUAUUUAACAACUAAAUUUAUAUCGGUAUCGUUGGUGCCACCAAUCCUUUGUUCCGAUGUUAAAAUUCAAGACACUAAUAAAUGAUCAUACGUAACAUUUGGCUAUAUUUUGGAUCGGAUCGACCUUCUUUAGUAUCUUUUUUUUUUGUUGGAAUAAAACGAGGUCUUAUAAAAUAUUAAUAUAAAUUAGAUUAUUUUCUUAAUAAUUUAAAAUUUUAAAAUUAUUAAUCACAUAAUCAUAAUAUUGAUUGAUUGAUGAUGUAUCAUCCUCAAUAUUCCUCGAAUAGUAAUGAUGUUAUGUGACCAACAUAAAAUGAUAAUUACGACUAAAAUUUGAAAUCAUUGAAAUGUGAUCAAAAGUACCACGUAAUAGAAUAUUUUCAAUUAAUCAUAUUUUUUUAAUUAAAAUUCUGUUUAAUUAGUCAUGUAUCCAUUCCCCAUUCCUAGGUGGUGGACCCUCUUUAUCAAGGGUUUUUUUUUUUUGGCUUACGCUAAUUAAAUAUCCAUAAAAACAAAUAGUCGUUAAUCGGCAGGCAUAUGAAAUAAAUGAGCAAAAAACAAGUAAAGGGAAUACUUAAACCUUCAUCUUCUUCCUCCUUCAAAGUCUCUCGAGGAAUCGAGUGUGAGGAGCUCCAAAAUGCUAUUAAGUUAACGUAGAUUUAGAUUUUGGAACUUGGGGAGGGGAGGAUAGAUUAAAUGUCACUAACGGCUAUUUUCUUAUCCUUUCUUCCCUCCAUACAAAUCCAACUUCUUCGUAUGUAGAUUUAGGAUGAUUUUCUUAGAAAAUAUUUCAAUUGGUACUUGUCAUUAUAUUUUUUUAAAUAGUAUUCCUAAUUUAAAAAUAGCUAAACUAUCUUUUAAUUUUUUUAAAAAAAUAUUAGAAAACAUGUUUGAAAACACUAUAAAUAAUUUAAAUAGACUCAUAAUGUAACUUACGGUGUUCUUCAAUAAUAUUUAUAGUGUUUUAAGUACAUUAAUAAAAUAUUAUAAAUAUUAUUAAAAAAAAUAUAAAUGAGUCAAAUAUAAAUACUAUAAUAAUUAGAAAUCGAUAAAAGAAAAUUUGACAAAAAAAAAACUUAUGAAAUAUAUUUUACGUAUUUUAAAUUAGGAAUAUUAUUUGGGGAAAAAAAUAAAAAUGUAAUUUUGAAAAAUACUCAAAAUAUAUAUGUCUUUUUCUUUUUUAAAAUCACAGCCUAAAGAUUCUACCUGCAUGGGUGGGUGGAGCAAAGCCAGCGGAACACUCGGUGGGUGUUCGUGACCCUAAAGAACAAGUUCAGUUAUGUAUCGUCUCGGUAACUAUAUACACACUCCUGAAUCUACCCGGUCUGUCAACGAAGGCAGCUACGGGCCCACAUGCGUUCGCGGCAAGUAGUGACGGGGUAGGAAAAGCGACGCCAAUGGUUUCCAUUUACUUGAGAACAACUGAAUGGGAUGAAACGGGAGACACGACGGCAGACGGCAGCAAAGGAAGGGGUGGGUCAUGGAAGGGCAAAACAGUCAUUCGAGGUAAUGUGCAUGUCCGGGCGCCGACUGAUCCGAGCACGUUUCCGACAUUUGCUUCUGUUUUUUAGGAAAUGGAAACGAACGGCAACAACAAAAAGGAAAAGAAGAAAAAACAACAAACGAGUAAGCGAAUUUAAUUACCGUGGCGGUCUUUUAUUUUAUUUCUUUUCGCUGUUACAAGGGAAGCAAUGGUCGCGUCGCUCGAGUUUUUGUUGUAGGCUCUACCUGUUUUUGUUGGUGUGCACACCACGACGCCUCUGCUUCUCCCGGACGAACAUAGCGAGCGAGAUAAAGAAGAAGAAGAAGAAGAAGGAGAGGUGAGGGGGCAAGAGGGAAAGCGAUCGCCUCCGAAUCCUCCGAGUGCUAUCGGGGUUUCCUCCUUCCCCGUCCUCCAUCGCCUCCGAUCUCAUCGGUCGUCUCUCGAGGAGGAGGAGAUUCCGAUCUGAAUCGCUCGAUCCCGCGCCGAUGAUCCAUGGUACGGAGUCGCCGUCCACUCUUUAUGUUUUCUCGAAGUCUAAUUUCUUUUCUGAUCUUCUAUGUCUUUGUUUCCUUCUUCUGGAUAAGUCAAAUUUAUUUAGGACCGAGGAUACCUUCUCUCGGGUUCAGUUUCUUGUGUACUCCUCCCAGGAAUAACGGGCCUCCGUGAUUCUAGGGCUUAUGCUUGCACUGUAACGGCUCAUCAGAGGAUGAUUUGGUCCACCUGUAGUCUUAGAUGAUAUAAGCAUAUUAGAUAACGUGUCUCGAUGUGGAAUUCGCUGGUUAUACCCGUCGAAUGAAUUGGUCUUAAGUUGGGAAAAUAUCGAUCACGAUACACUGAUAAUAAUGCCUAAAACUGACGAAGCUAAGGAUACAACUAUUGCGGCAAUCGGUAACCACUAGAGAAAUGCAUGGAGGAGGUUGGUUUGGAAAUCGAGAUUGUUGGGACAAAUUGCUGCUGAAUUGCUUAUAAAGGGAAGAGUAAUGUUCUUCGUCAUUAGGUUCACCAGGUCUUUUUUACCAGCUUAGAGACUCAGAUAUGAGGUAGGUAUGUUGGAUCGUGUUGAAGUACGUUCAUCAAUUGCAACUUUUUAUCGGAUUCAAUAUGCCCUGACAAAAAGUUUGAGGGUUCGUGACAAAUGAAGAGAGAGUGAGUUUGCUUAUAGUGGCAUUUGAUCCAUUAUGCCACUAAAUUAUGGGCUUAACUGGUGCAUUAUGAAACAUGCCAUAGUGAUAUUAGUCUGUCUCUCUUUUAAUUUCUCUCGCAAAAGGGAGAUAGAUUCAAGGAUAUCAGAAUUCAAGGAGAUAAAUUCAAGGAUUAACUGUAUAUAUUUUUACCUCAAGAUGUCAACAGGAUAGGGAUUAAAGUGAUUUGAUUUCUGUACUUGAUGAUAAAAAAAGAUUUGUACAGUGGGCCUAGAAAUACUCGACUGAACAAAUGAAUUCUAAAGCAAAAGAUACUUCUUGAAAAUUUUUAGCAUAUAAAUUACAUGGGAGCAUGUUGUUAUUUUAAUAGAUUGUAUAAAAUGCAAGAGAAUGGUGAAGAACUUUUACGAUAUUUUAUUCAGAAUGAUCCUAAGAUUUGUAGUACGAUGCAAACCAAGAGGUGGGUUAAGGAAGUAAUAAGUUAAGAUAACUGAAAAUAAAAAAUGGUUGAGUUGCUGCCUUCUGCUUCUUGAUCUCCAUGAUUGCCCUUUCUGUUCAUAGGAUUCAUCACGCACUAGCUGCAGAUAUUCUGUACAGGUUUUGCCUUCGCUUUCUUUUCUUGCGAGCUAUUCAGAUAGAUAUGCAGUUAGUUGGUCUAUUCUGCGCAAGAGAAGAAUAACUUAGUUGAGUUGCUGUCUUCUGCCUCUAGAUUUCCACCACUGGCCUUUCUGCCUGCAGGAAUUGUCAUCUACUAGCUGCUGACAUUCUCAACAGUCUUUUUCUGUCAUUUUUCUCCCAAGAUGCUCUAAUUGAUGUGUGGUUUUGUGACCUAAUCUCCCACCAACAUGCCUAAUUUUAGAUGAUUGUUUUUCCAACUUCUGCUACACUAACUCAAUAGUUCUGCCUGACCACGGGGACCUGCCCAUGUUGCCUCUAGCUAAGGUGGUGCAUUCUAGUUGUCUUUAAUAGGUUGUAAACUAAUAAUGGGUUAAGCUGCAUCCACAGUCCUCCACUUAUUGGCUAAGUACCAUUGGCUCUAUAUGUGGUUGCCUGGACCGCCUUUUCAGUACAGUCAAAGGAAGCAAAUAUUUUAUAAGAUCUUUACUAACUUCUAGCAUUUUUUCUAUAAAUUUCAGAUGUAAAUACUUGAGAUUUUUAAGAAUUAAUGACCUCAGAUUCUUUUGUUUGAUAUAUAGUUUACAUAUUUGUUAUUCAGAUUUGGAAGAAAUAUGGUAUCAUGCAAUAUGAUUAAUUAGAAAAGAUAUAUGUUCUCUGGUUACUGAAUUUCAUGUUUUCAUGCCACAUGAUACUGAAUCUGUACAUGCCUUUGACUUAUAUGUCUGACCGAUAAUGCAUAUGCAGGCAAGUCUAGAUAACAUCAUUGUGGGAUCUCAUGUCUGGGUUGAAGAUCCAGUUCUGGCUUGGAUCGAUGGAGAGGUUUUUAAGAUUAAUGGUAAUGAGGUUCAUGUGCACACAACAAAUGGGAAAACGGUAUGUGUGCAAAGUAUUUUUCGGUUCAUUUUAUUCUCAUGAAAAUCCUUGUCAUCAAUAUUGUCAUUGUUUGUGUCAAUGUAAACUUUGACUAGCCUUUGACACCUAUGGAGUGCCUAUCUAACUUGUGUCAGUUCUUUUCAAAUUUCUUAUUUUUUAAUGAAGAAUAUGAUAUUAGCCCAUCUAUUCAUUUUUAUAACCUAAGUAAUACAUUCUAGUAAUUUGUCCUGCUGCAAGACUUAAACAUGUCUUCUAUUACAUUGUUACUUUGUAAAUAACUAUCCUUUUUUAUAACAUUUCUGGGUUAUAUUAUUUAUUAGAUUAUUUUCCUUUUUGUUGUGUUUACAUGUGUGUGUGUGUGUGUAUAUCUAUGUUGGCCUAGGUGAAUUAGUAAUUGGUGAUAUAGUUAUUUGGUUUGCUUGGGUAACAAGGGAGGGGUUGGAUGGACAACAACCUCUAGGGAAACUGGAGAGAAUAAAGAAGAUGGUAGUGAUAACCUGUCUUGCAUAUGAGGAAGUAAUUUCAGUUUAAUAGAAAAGUGGGAGAAUCGUAAUUAACUUGAAUCAAGGUUUGAGGAAUUUAGUUGCAACAGUAGAAUUUAGAGUUAUAGUCAUGUCAACUCUGUUUAGUCAACUAAAUCAGAUCAAUCAAUUGAAUUUGCCAGGAUGGGCCUGGAUCAGUAGGUAUGCACUGAAGCUAGUUUUGUCAGCUGGUGGCAGUUGAGAAGAGUGGAGAUGAAUUGGAAGGUGUGAAAAUGGAUUUGAUGUUGGAACAACCACAUCCUUAUCUAUUUUUAACCAACAGAUGCAAAUACCUCACAAAAAUCUUUUAGUAACCAUAUAAAUUUAGAUUCAUAAAGAUAUGUAUUGGAUAUAUAUAAUGGAUGUGUUUGAAUUGGGUUUUAGGUCGAUAUAGAUGUGAAAACUAUAGAAAUCAAAGAAAACAUGAAAAUAAACAAAAAAGAAAUCAAUUCAAAUCUAUCAAUCAUGUUUAUUUAAUUAACAACUUUAAAGCAAAUGCAAAAAUGAAAAUGAGGAAUGAGAAAAAAAUUACUACGUAGGAAAUAGAAAUCAGAUAACAAAUUUUCUUUAGAUAAUAGAGGUAAAAUUUUCGAGUCCAGGAUCUUGCAAUAAUGUAAACAUAUCCAGCUCCACAUGAAGAUGGUAAUGGAUUUUACAUACAUUGGCCUAUCUAGUAUCUCCCCUUCAUCAUCCAGAUUCAGUUUUUGGUUGAUUUUAACUGAUUUGUGGCUGAUUACCUAAUUGUAUUUUGUUGUUUAAGCUAAAUCACGACCAUAAAAAUAAAAUGAUCCUUUUAUAUAGUGCAGAUAAUGGUCAACUAGGAAAGAUUUGUGGACUUCAAUUUUUUUUAAGAAGCUCCUAUUAGUAGUGCUUCUUAGAUAACACAUUUCUACUUACUAAAACAAUAACUUUUGUACCUUGAUAAGAGUUUUUAUAUUGCCUUCUCAUCAAAUAACAUAGUGCUGCUGUAAUCAUGAACUUGAUUUUUCCAUGGCUUCUGUGCGUUCUAUACCACAGUACUAAAAAAGAAUUCUCAUUGCCCAUUGCCCAUUGCUGCUCUAUCUUUUUGCUUGCAGACAGUCUAAUAAGCUCAAGAACCAUCUCUAAUUCUGUACUUGGGCAUAUAUAUUUCCAGAAAAUAAUUAUACUCGAAUGCCAAUAUAUUGAACCAUCUGUAGUUCUCUACCUGGACAGAGUUCUCUACUUGGACAUAAACUACUUCCACAAAAUAAUAACACUCAUUUGCAUGCCAUUAAAUUUUAUUUUACUCUUUUCUGAUAUCAACAAGCAGUAUACUGACUCCCAUGGUUUCUAGAAAUUAGUCAUCUGAUUUAGGGUUUGUUUCUUGGACACUGUAAAGCCAGAGGAAGUAAUGAGGUGAUUAACAUACUUUGGCCUCAUUAUCAUUGUAUUUUUUAAAGAAUCAGAAGUUAUACAAUGCUCUCUGUUAGCAUUUUUAUGCACAAGAUUUCCCUUCUACAAGAGCUUCCUUGUAUUUGUAUAUGUCUAUGUGCACAAUGAAAAAAGUAAGUGUCAGCACGACAAGAGGCUCCAGGUCAGUAUCAUGCCAGCAUGGUAUGACAUUACUGGUAUGAUUAGAGAUUUAUAAUUUUAGAUGGUAAGAUGAGCUCAAUGCAUGCUAUCAAAGUUGGAAAUAAUAUUUGUGUGGGUCCAAACCUAUACAUCUUAUUAGUUCCUUGAUUUCAAAUUUCUACUUUUGGUUGUUUUGGCAGUAUUACUAAUCUAGGUAGUUCUUCAGUUAGUUGUUCUUUUACUAUUGGCACUUAAAUAUUCACUGAAUUGUGAUUAUCUUUCUUCACAUGCAGGUUGUGGCAAACAUAUCUAAAGUGUUUCCCAAGGAUACAGAAGCUCCACCUGCUGGAGUGGAUGAUAUGACAAAAUUAUCAUACUUGCACGAACCUGGAGUAUUGCAGAAUCUUGCGACACGUUAUGAACUUAAUGAAAUAUACGUGAGCUGCUCAUAAUAUUCACUGUUUUUAUGUUGAAUGCUAUUGACUAAUAAAAGUUGUCUAUGCACUCUAACUCCGUAAUUCUUUGGCUUUGUCAGACAUACACUGGAAAUAUCCUGAUCGCCGUGAACCCAUUUCAAAGAUUACCUCAUCUCUACGAUACCCACAUGAUGGAGCAAUAUCAAGGGGCAGCUUUUGGGGAGCUAAGUCCUCAUGUUUUUGCAGUUGCAGAUGUUGCUUACAGGUGAUAUUAAUUGUAUUCACAACAUAAUAAAGAGAGUAUCUUCUUUUACAUGGGUUUAUUUCUAUAUGGAAACAGGGCUAUGAUUAAUGAAGGGAAAAGAAACUCCAUCUUGGUUAGUGGAGAAAGUGGUGCUGGUAAGACUGAAACAACUAAGAUGCUUAUGCGAUAUCUGGCAUACUUGGGUGGACGAUCUGGAAUAGAAGGAAGGACCGUCGAACAACAAGUGUUGGAAGUAAGAUAUGAUAAACUUGUUUUUCAGUGUUUGAUUAUUAACAUUUACUUCUUAUUUUACUCAUAGCAAACUACAUAGAUAGGUGUAGUUUGGACUGAUAUCUAUCAUCAUUCUCUCAGUCCAAUCCAGUUCUUGAAGCUUUUGGCAAUGCCAAAACUGUUCGAAACAAUAACUCAAGGUAACACUAUUUUAGUAUUCUUUCCUUUUUGGACAAGUAUUUUCUUUUCAUGUCAAGCAUUAGUAAUGUGGCGUUUGAUCAACAGUCACUUUGAUGCAUCUGUUGAAAAUUGAGACAAAUGUUUAAUCAGCUGUGAAUAAUAUGUUUCACAUUAUUUUGGUAUCAUAUUAACAGUAACUUUGGUUCAUCUGUCGAAAAUUGAGAUAAAUGCUUGAUCAGCUGUAUAUAAUAUGUUUCACAUCAUUUUGGUACCAUAUUUGCUAUGUUCAAAUAUCUAAUUUGUCUUUCUUGUUUUUGUUCAUCCAAUAUCGAUUUAGUCGGUUUGGUAAAUUUGUUGAGAUCCAAUUUGACAAUAACGGAAGGAUAUCAGGUGCUGCUAUUAGAACAUACUUACUUGAAAGAUCUCGUGUCUGCCAAAUUAAUGAUCCUGAGAGAAACUAUCAUUGUUUUUACCUUCUCUGUGCUGCACCUCAUGUGGUAUGUAUGCCCUGCCAUUGUUUUUAAAUGGGUUAUGUUAAUUCUUGGAAUGGACAUUAUAAAAUGUUUACCUAUGUGGCAGGAGAUCGAGAAGUAUAAGUUGGGGAGUCCGCAAUCAUUUCAUUAUCUUAACCAAUCCAAAUGCUUCAAAUUAGAUGGGGUUGAUGAAGCUCAAGAAUAUCUAUCUACCAGAAGGGCCAUGGAUAUAGUUGGGAUCAGUGAGCAUGAACAGGUAUGCUUCUUUAGUUUAUUCUAAAGUAAGUUGGUUCUUUAAUUCUGAACAUUGUUAUUCAAUUGUAUUGUUUAUAUUCAGGAGGCAAUAUUCAAGGUUGUAGCUGCCAUACUUCAUAUUGGAAAUAUUGAUUUUGCUAAAGGGCCAGAAAUAGAUUCAUCUGUUAUCAAAGACGAGAAGUCAAGAUUUCAUCUUAACAUGGCAGCCGAACUUCUGAUGUAUGCCCAAGUUAUCUGUUUCUGUUCUGUGAAAAAUUAUUCUUUUACCAACAUGGCAUGAAAUAAUGUUUAUGUCAGGUGUGAUGUCAAGGGUUUAGAGAAUGCAUUGAUAAAACGUGUCAUGGUGACCCCUGAAGAAGUUAUUACAAGAACUCUUGAUCCUGCUUCCGCAAUUGUCAGCAGGGAUGGUUUAGCAAAAACCGUCUAUUCCCGACUAUUUGAUUGGUAAGAGCUCUGUCUUGUUGUGAAAAUCCUGGCACUGGUCCUUUAUGAUAGUGCAAUUAAUCAUUUGAUUGGUCACACUCUAUACAGGCUUGUAGACAAAAUAAAUGUAUCAAUUGGGCAGGAUCCAAAUUCAAAGUCACUGAUUGGAGUUCUUGAUAUAUAUGGUUUUGAAAGUUUCAAAUGUAAUAGGUAAUCCAUCAAUAGGAAAAUGCAAUCACAGUUUUGCUUUCAGGGAUUACGGAUGGUUAAACAUGAUAAUUGAUGAUUCUUAUCUUUUGUCUUGUUCUCAAAACAGUUUUGAACAGCUCUGUAUCAAUUAUACAAAUGAAAAGCUGCAGCAACAUUUCAAUCAGGUUUUCCUAAAGCUUUUUACAUAAUUUUGUAGAUUGAAUUAAUUAUAGGUUCAAUUUUAACACAUGAUGCCAUGUCCAGCAUGUCUUCAAGAUGGAGCAAGAGGAGUAUACCAAGGAGGAGAUUAACUGGAGCUACAUAGAAUUUGUUGAUAACCAAGAUGUUCUGGAUUUGAUUGAGAAGGUUUAUCAUUUUUUGUCAUAAUUUUAUUUUGAUUUGUGAUUUUUUGCAGAAAUUGGUGAUUUUGUUUGGUAGCAUCUUGAUCAGAUUCAUUAUUUAUGCAUUUACAACAACUAUACUUUUUUUAAUGGGUAAAAUUGAUAGGACAAUGUCCAGAGAACAUAUGGGUCAAGAAUGAGUUUGGUAACCUCGAAGAACAUAUCUGUAUUAGAAAAUCAAUUUAGUUUUUAAGCCCAAGCGUUUCAUCUUUGUUAACCAUGAAACUGUAUAAGAUUGAUAAUAUCAUAAUAGUGUUUGGUGGGGAACAGUAGGAUACACAUAAAUUUCAUGGAUGGAUGAAAACAUCCUUUCAGCUGUGAAUCCUUUUUGUGGUGGUAUAAUUUGCUCAAGAAAGCAUAGAAAAGAUAAAUGUUCUUUUUAACUGCUCAUGUACUGGUUUAUUCCAUUGAGGAGUAGGAGGUUGAUCCAACACUAUUUGAUUUCAGCUCUAUUGGAUAUUUUUCCCUGCCACUGAGCUCUUUUGAUGACAGUCAAUCCAAGAGUCUUAAUGUACUUUCAACAAUAUGCCAUUCGAUAUAAUGCCAAUGUGAAUGUGUGGCAUUCUUUUGAUCAUAUAGAAGUGAUUGGAUGUUAACAUUACCAGAUCUCUUUCUAUACUAUAGCUACUAAUUAUCCACUUUAUCAACCCAGUGCAGUUCUGGUAUAAAAAAUCUCAAUUUCUAUACCAGUAUGAUCAUGCUGCUCUUUAGUGAAAUGACAGUGCUAGCCCUAACAUAUUGGUGCACUAUGUCCAAUGACAGAGCAUUAGUCUUACUUUAUCGUGUUCUGUCUCUGUUCUACAAUAACCAUUGGUGCACCCAUUUUGUUGAACACAAAACUUGUACUAUCUGGUAUAAUCAUAUGGAUAAUCCUCCAACUUUCCUGCAAUAUUUGUCUUUAGCUUCAACAAAACUGUUGUCGGUGGAUGAUACAAGUCUGCAAGUGCAAUCUGCCAAUUCUAUUACUUGACAACUGUGAUCCUACUGAUUUUUGUACGUCAAUUUGAACGCCUAACAAAUUCAACUACUUGACAAUAUACCAAAUAUCUUUUAACGAAUGUGGAUAUGUUGUUUCUGUGCAGUACAGUUUAAUGUGAAUGAAGUAAUAAGGUAGUAACACAAGGCCCUGAGUGCAUUUGCAACAUUUAAUGCCCAGACUUUAGCAUGUCAGUUCAGAUGCAUAUUGAACUCAACUACUUGAUGUUAUUUGUCAUAAGUCUUUUCUUAUAUGUGGAAUUAUAGAAUUGGCUGUAUGUAAAGCUGGAAGGCACAAUAUAUAUGACCCUGAGUUUGCUUUCAAUUUUUUUAAACAAAUUUUCUUUUGGCUACCAACUUACUUGCCAUUAUGACGACAAAUAUUUUAUUUCAGAAACCUGGAGGAAUAAUUGCGCUUCUUGAUGAAGCCUGGUAUGUGUUGAUUGCUUCCCUUGUUUUGGUACAAAACCAUUUUUCUACUUGGAAGGAAAUUCUAUCAAGUAACAUUAGGAUUCUUAUAUGUCCAUAUGCAUCUAUUCUAAAGUAACUUUUGAUUUAUCCUACAUUUCUUGCUUGAUUCAGCAUGUUUCCCAAGUCAACACACGAGACAUUUGCUCAAAAAUUGUAUCAAACAUUCAAAAACAACAAGAGGUUUAUAAAACCAAAACUUUCUCGCACAAACUUUACAAUUGGCCAUUAUGCUGGAGAGGUAAGUAUUCAUUUUUUGAAUAUGCUGAAGUACUUUUAUUGAAUCUUCCUUUGAUUGGAUUAAUAUAUCUAUUAUCUAUCCUAUCUACUUAGGUAACAUAUCAAGCUGACUACUUCUUGGACAAAAACAAAGAUUAUGUUGUGGCAGAACAUCAAGAAUUAUUGAAUGCUUCCAAGUGCCCAUUUGUUUCGGGUUUAUUUCCACCACUUCCUGAAGAGACAUCAAAAUCUUCCAAAUUCUCUUCCAUCGGAGCCCGCUUUAAAGUAAUAUUUUUUUUUCUGUUCAUAUAUUAUUUUCUGUAUGUUACAAAUAAUAUUAUUUUUCUAGUAAUUGUUUUCUUAAACUCAUGUGUGAAAUGACCUGCUUACUCUUCUUUAGUAGUGAAUCCUUGUGCAGAGGUAAUAUUUACGAGUGAAUGUCACCCUGUGAUUCAACAACUGUCAUCAAGUAGAAACUGCAUGGCACAUAACUACACAUGGGUUAACUUAAUAUUUCUGGUGUCCAUUGAAUUUUUUUUUUUUGCAUUUAUAGAUGGAAAUUUUUUAUACUGAUUGAGUAAUAGGUGAGAUUUUCUAAUAGGAUCAUCAACCUUGUGCUUUUAUCCAUGGGAGGGCAUCUAUGAGUGUAGACAUACAUAAACUUGCAAUUUUUUUAAAAUUUUGUGCUUCAGUGUCUACAAGAAAGAUGUGUACAAUGACUUUUAAGUUGAUUUGCUUAGUUAAUUAGUUACAAAUACACUUCUCUUUUUGACUUGUGAUCUUACAAAAUCUCAGCUACAACUCCAAUCGCUGAUGGAAACCUUGAACUCAACUCAACCUCAUUACAUCAGAUGUGUGAAGCCAAAUAAUGUCCUCAAACCUGCUAUUUUUGAGAACUUCAAUGUUAUCCAACAGUUGCGAUGUGGAGUAAGUCCCAUCUUACUACAAUUGACUUGUAAUUCUUUUUGAUAUUAUUUUCAAUCAUCACAUAAUCUUUUACCAUUUUGCUUUGGCUUCUUCACACAUCUAGGGUGUUCUUGAAGCAAUCCGGAUCAGCUGUGCUGGAUAUCCGACUCGAAGAACAUUUUAUGAAUUUCUCCUUCGAUUUGGUCUUCUUGCCCCAGAUGUUUUGGAAGGAAAGUAAGCCUUUGUAAAUCUGUAAAAUGAAUUUUGAAUUAUCUCUAAAUUACGUGGUGUUGUAUGUAUAUGAGCUUAAUAUUUUAACGCACCUGCUUUUGAUCUUUGUAAAUCUGGAUAGCUGUGAUGACAAGAUUGCUUGCCAAAAGAUUCUGGACAAAAUCGGAUUGAAAGGUUACCAGGUAAGACCAUUGUUACCAGAUGUUUUUUGUUUUCUUUUUUAUGAUGUUCAAUUACUACUCUACAGGGACAGCUUUUGGAUUAACUUAGUAAGCUGAGUAUGUCAAAGAAUGUAACAUAGAAAAUUCUCUUUAGACAUUUAUAAGAAUGGGCAGAAUCUAUGAGGAAAAAGAACUGCAUUACAUCUUCUCUUAGUUAUACACUAAAGGCUACUGAUGUUUUGGGUCCCUUUCUCCUUAAAAAUAUAGAGAAUAACAAAUUUUCUCCAUUGAAAAUGCUUUUUCUUAUCAACCUACAUCUUUUAAUUUGUUCUACUCAAAUUCAUUGAGAAUUUUUAUUUGAGCAUGUCUUUUCUCACAUUGUGUAUCACCGUCAUGGGCAGCUAGGCAAGAGCAAAGUGUUUCUGAGGGCUGGCCAGAUGGCUGAACUGGAUGCUAGACGAGCAGAGGUACUUGGAAGAGCAGCUAGAACAAUUCAGAGGCAAAUCCGUACAUAUAUUGCUCGUAAAGAUUUCCUUAAACUACGGAAAGCAGCUAUUCAUCUGCAGUCUUUAUGGAGAGGUAUGGUUGAGAUAUUAUAAGAUUGGUACAUCUUUUCCUUAUCAUAAGAAAGGUUACCCUAAGACUAAGUUGUGCUUGUUCUUUCUUUCAAUUGGAUGUGCUAUCAUUCAUUUGGAAGUCCUGUGAUCUAGUUAUUAAGUCUGAAUCGUUUGGAUUUUGAUUUUUCUCUUGUGCAUCAGUAAAAAAAGUCUUUAUUUGUGUUCUCAAUUUGGUUAAAUUCAGGGAGAUUGGCCUGUAAGCUUUAUGAGUAUAUGAGACGUGAAGCAGCAGCAGUCAAAAUUCAAAAGAAUCUGCGUCAAUAUUUUGCAAGGAAAUUGUAUACAACACUUCGAUCAUCAGCAAUUAUUUUGCAAACAGGCUUAAGGGCAAUGACUGCACGCGAUGACUUUAGAUUUAAAAGGCAAACUAAAGCUUCAAUUUGUAUUCAGGUGUCUUAUUCUCUCUUUGCUGGAAACAGCUUCUAAAACUUUAGCUACAUGGUUUUAUGUUGUUCUGAAAGAGAAUCUAUAAUACAUCACUUCAUAAAUGAGCUGGCAUGUAUGUUUUUUAAUUUCUUAAUCUACCAAUUGUUCAUUUGGACUAUGAUUUAAACAUAUUUUGUCCUUUGCUUCAGGCUCGGUGGCAUUGUCACCGAGAUUAUUCUUACUACAAGAGAUUGCAGAAGGCAACGCUUACUUAUCAGUGUGCUUGGAGACAAAGGCUUGCAAGAAAAGAGCUUAGAAAGCUAAGAAUGGUCUCUUCUUAACUCUGGAUUUCUGAAUUUCUCCAAAUAAAAUGAAGCUUAUACAUAACCUAGUUGUUAACUCAAAUUUCUGCAGGCUGCUAGGGAAACAGGAGCCCUAAAAGAAGCGAAAGACAAGCUUGAAAAGCGUGUGGAGGACUUGACAUGGCGUUUGCAGCUUGAGAAACGACUAAGAGUAAUAAUCCUUUCUAAAUAAUUCUCCAUGCGAUACGUUGGCACUUUAUCUAUUCUUCUGUUUAGUAUUCUGUGCUUGUUGAUGAGUUGCGAGAUAACCUGCUUGACUCCAAUAUGCAGACUGAUCUGGAGGAGACAAAGGCACAAGAAAUUGCUAAACUACAAGAGAUGUUGCAUGAGACGCAACUGCAGGUAGAAGAAUCAAAGUCCAUGGUUAUCAAGGAACGUGAGGCUGCACGCAAGGCUAUCGAGGAAGCACCUCCUGUCAUAAAGGAAACCCCUGUUUUGGUUCAAGAUACAGAAAAGAUCAAUGCAUUAACUGCUGAAAUUGAAAACCUGAAGGUAGGACCAACAAACUCAUUCAGACAUUAGAUCUCUCUCUAUAUAUGGUGUCCUGGGUUCUGAAUCAGGACCAUGUGCAUUAGGAGCGAGAAAAGACAGGAAAACCAGGAAUUGUAGACAUUUGUAUGCUGAUUAAUGAGAACCUCUAUUGUAUUUACCAUUAUAGUACGUUAUGUUCUACAAAUUACCUGUGUUUAAAUUAGAUGCCUGCUAAAUGAAUUACUUUGUUGUUCACUCUGAAUUAUGUAGUAAUUUUGUUUUUAUUCUCUUAUUAUCAUGACAGGCUUUAAUGCAAACAGAAAAGCAGGCAACUGAUGCAGCCAAUAAAUCAUUGGCUGAAGCUCAGGAAAGAAAUAAUGAACUACUCAAGAAAGUUGAAGAUUCUGAGGCAAGAGCUGAGCAACUUCAAGACACUGUUCAAAGGUUUCUGAUUUAGUGAUCUUUUUUUUUGGGGGGUUUUAUCUCCAGCAAUUUAGGUAUCAUUUUGGAUAAAUGUAGAUGGAAUGCAUGAGAAUUUUAAAAUUUUAUGUUAUAAAUACUAUAAGAAGCUAAAACCAGUUACCAGUCAUAUGUCCUGAAGAUUUGCUUCAAUAACAUGAGGUAAUAGUUGUAUCUUCUUUCCGAGCACAGGCUUGAAGAGAAAGUAUCAAACUUGGAGUCAGAAAAUCAAGUACUACGUCAACAGGCAGUUGCCAUUUCACCAACCACCAGAGCAUUAACUACACGCCCAAAAACAACUAUCAUCCAGGUGCCUUUCAUCCUUAAUGCUUAUACUGUUGUUUUGUUUAGUGUAUAUGGAUGUCUUGCUUAUGCUAUCAUAUUAUUGUGCCUUUGUUACAGAGAAGCACAGAAAAUGGGAAUAUUCUGAAUGGUGAAUCAAAACUUGCUUUGGUAAGCAUAAUAAUUGAAUUCUAAUGAGCAUUCGGCUUCUGUGAUAUCGAAUGUCAUUCCCGAAAAAGAUAGGUAAAUUAACCUGGAUGAUUCUCCUUACAUAAAAACUGUAGGAUCUUAGUCCUGGUAUACCUAGUUCCAAGGAGCUCCAAAAUGAUGAUAAACCACAGAAGUCACUCAAUGAAAAGCAGCAGGUAUAAUUUUAGUUAAUUUUUAAAUAGAAGCCAUUCAGUAAAGAUGCUUUAAUAUUUGUGCAUCUUGUUGAUAUUGAAUUUUGUCACAACUUCUUGUUCGAUCAUGCUGAUUACAUCCAUCUAUUUUUUCACAAUGCUGUUUUCCAGGAGAACCAGGACUUGCUUAUUGAAUGCAUCUCUAAGGACCUAGGAUUCUCUCAGGGUAGGCCUAUUGCUGCUUGUCUCAUCUACAGAUGCCUUCUUCACUGGAGAUCCUUCGAAGUUGAAAGAACUAGUAUUUUUGACCGUAUAAUCCAAGCAAUAGGCUCAGCUAUUGAGGUAUGAAAAACCUUUUUAAUUGUUGCUGGGACUUUAUUGUGUUUCGUCAUAUGUGAAUAAGGAAUUUAAUGCAUUUACAAUUUUGUGUUAGAUUUGUGACCACUCUAUGCAACCUCAACAAUCUUUCAUGUUUACCUAACCCAUAUUAGUGAAACUGCUACAUGAUCUUAUUCAUAGUUCCGUGCCUGUUUUUUAUUUAACUAAAAUUUCAACUUGCAUAUCUGAAAGGCCCAGGAUAACACUGAUGUCUUAUCCUACUGGUUGUCCAAUUCAUCUACUUUAUUGUUACUUCUCCAACGGACACUAAAAGCAAGUGGAACCGCAAGUUUGACUUCACAGAGGCGUCGAGCAUCAGCUUUGUUUGGGAGGAUGUCUCAAGUAAGGCAGCAGAACCUUUUUCCCAGAAGAAGAUGAUGAGUGUUUUCACUAUGGUUUCCUUCUAAUUUUUCGUUGUUUAAUGUGUUUUUAUUAAUUUCCCUGCAUUUUAAGGGGAUUCGAACUUCUCCUCAAAGUGCUGGGCUCUUUUCUUUUAAUGGCCGCAUGAUGGGUGGAUUGAGUGAUUUGCGUCAAGUUGAAGCAAAAUAUCCUGCUCUGCUUUUCAAGCAGCAGCUUACUGCUUUUCUCGAGAAAAUUUAUGGAAUGAUCAGAGACAAUCUAAAAAAAGAAAUAUCUUCACUGCUUGCCUUGUGUAUCCAGGUAUGAAGAAACUUUUCAUAUAUUUGUGCUUGAAAUUUUGUUAAUAUUGCUAACCAUGCAGGCACCAAGAACAUCUCGUGCAAGCUUAUUGAAAGGGUCACGAUCUCAAGCAAAUGCUAUGGCCCAGCAGGCACGAAUCGCGCAUUGGCAGAGUAUUGUGAAAAGCUUAACCGACUACUUGAAAAUACUGAAAGCCAAUUAUGUAAGUUUUGUAGUGGCAAUCUAUUUAAUUUCAUAAAUGUUUAGCAAAACUUUUGGUCCUUAUCCUUUUUUCACCACUCAGGUCCCUCCAUUUUUAGUCCGCAAGGUGUUCACCCAAAUCUUUUCGUUUAUAAAUGUUCAACUGUUUAACAGGUACGUCAAGUUUAAAUGUAAAUUCCAUGCCACUAUUUUUGUAGUCAUGUGAACUUUCUUAUUGAAAAGAAUAAUUUCCUUUUUGUGCUCUUUAUAUAGCCUUCUGUUGAGGCGUGAGUGCUGUUCAUUUAGCAAUGGGGAAUAUCUCAAAGCAGGAUUGACUGAGUUAGAACACUGGUGCUAUGAUGCAACCGAAGAGGUGGAAUCCUUUGAUCUCAGUCAACUUUUAUCAAGGCAUUGAACUAAAAUAUCAUUUGCACACAGUAUGCAGGUUCUGCCUGGGAUGAGUUGAAGCAUAUUAGGCAGGCUGUUGGUUUCUUGGUAUGUUGUCUUUUAUGAAGAACACAGCUGUUGACAGCUAUUGAAGAAGGUUCAAUAUUUUUAAUUUUUAAUUUUUGAGAAACAUCACACAAUAUAUUCAUUGAUCCAGGUUAUACAUCAGAAGCCGAAGAAGACCUUGAAGGAGAUAACCAAUGAUUUAUGUCCAGUUUGGGCCACUACUUUGACCUGUUAUUAUGUUAAAAACAUGGAGUCAUUUAGUUAUCAUACCCAUUUUGAACUGUUAUCUGAUUCUGUUUUCAGGUGCUUAGCAUACAACAGUUAUACAGAAUCAGUACGAUGUACUGGGAUGACAAAUAUGGAACACACAGUGUAUCGUCGGAGGUAAGUUUUGAAUUCAGUUUAUUGAUGUGGUCAGACUAUCAUCUAAACAUUUAUAUCCUACUUUUUAGGUCAUUUCAAGUAUGAGAGUUAUGAUGACAGAGGAUUCAAAUAGUGCAGUUGGCAGUUCGUUCUUGUUGGAUGAUGAUUCCAGGUCAUUUUUUAAUAAACAUGUUUAAGUUCUUUGUGUUUUUUUUUUAUAUUUUGGGGGCGCGAGUGGGUGACGGUGGUUCAGGAAUAGGAAAAUCUAAGCUGGAUUUAUUCUUCAUCAAUUUGUCGAUGCAGCAUACCUUUCUCUGUGGAUGAUAUUUCCAAGUCAAUGACCGAGAUAGAGAUAGCAGAUGUUGAUCCGCCACCUCUGAUUCGUCAGAAUUCAGGCUUUGCUUUUUUGCUACAGAGAAAGGAAUAGUAAUUCUCAUCGCCAAGUGUUCCAGUUCUCAACCAUUCAGCAAGAUGUGCAUACUCAUCUCGUAAAUAUGAUGUUAUUCUACUCGUGCCAAAUUGGCUGGUGUACCAAGGGUAGAUGAUAGAUUAUCAUUUUAGUAUUUGUGUUUGAUUUGUUGAUUUGUUUUUGUGAAUUUAUUUUUUCCAGUUGUAUUUAUUGGUGAAUAGCUCUGGGCUGCUAUUGGGAAUGCUCAGUGUCUAUUAUUAGGUAGUACGAGGGUGCUGCAUCAACAAACAUUUAGAAGUUGCAUUCGUCUAUGCUCUGUUGGUAAUGUAGUUGGCAAUUGAAGCAACAAUAGAAACAUUCAAAAGGUUAAUCUUUUGUUGUAUGUUGAAGGUCUUGUAGAUGCAAUUAUGCCUAGUCUUUACAACACUAGCAAUUUCUUAACUGUGGUAUAUACUCAAUUGUGACUAAAGGGAGGAGGUGGAGGAAGAAGUUGAGAGGAGAGGAAGGGAAGGGAGGAGAGAAGAAGAGCUGGUGGAGGGGCGACGCACUGAACCGGUUCAGAAUAUAUAUAUAUAUAUAUAUAUAUAUAUAUAUAUAUAUAUAUAUAUAUAUAUAUAUAUAUAUAUAUAUAUAUAAGAUUUGAAUAGGGGGAUGAAACUGAAUUUUUUUUAUUAAAAAAGUAUCAUGGAUAAGUUUUCAAUGUGGAUGCCAAGUCAAUUAGUAGGAUUUUUUAAAAAUUAUAUAUAUAAAUUGCUCUUACGUGGUAAACAAAAGCUUUCAAUACAUAAUUCGUUUCAGUGAACAGCCGCAUAUGGUUAAUGUCCCUUCAACGAAGGAGGAGUAAUUGCUGGCCCAUUCGAAAAUAUACUGACAAAUUGAAAAGAAAAUAUAAUUUGUAUUCUCUAUCCGGAUAUCCUUAUAGCCUGUAGUCGAAUAAAAAAAAGGUGUGAGUAAAUGUAUUAUUAUGAGACGAUUUAGAACCUAUUGUAUUUAAAAUUAUAUUUUAAAUACACAUUGGCAAAAUUGUAGGUCAAAAAGUCCAUUGAAUAUUUUGUGAUAAAUUUAUCCUUCUAAUUUUUAAAUAUUUAUUUUGAAAUAAAUAUAUUUUUGUUUAAAUAAAUAAAAUUUAUAAAAAAAAUUGUAUGGCCCGAAUAUAUAAUAAAUAAAAAUAAAAUCAUGUAAAUAAAUAUACAAUAAUAUUUUAAAAUAAAUAAUUAAAAUAUAAUCUUAUAGAAAAUAUAAGUCAGGUUGAUUUUUCACUAAAUCAUCAUGGCAAUCUUGUAAUUUUACUCAAAGUCAUAGGUACUUAUGAAAUUUAAAAAUUAUAUUAGCAUCUCGUAAAUGUUGAAGUGCUAAUAUUACUAUGAGAUAUCAUUUGAGCAUUUUAAAUGUAACAUGAGAUUUGAAAAAAAAUUAUUAGGUUUUAAACACAAAUUUCAAAUGUGUUAUGCAACCAUAAUGUAUAUGAUGUCUCAACAACUUUGUAUUAAAAAAAAACAUGAGGAAAAAGGUUAUCGAUAUGAAUGUAAUAGAUAUCCGUCGUCAACAAAUAUAUCUGAGUAUUGUGAUGAUAUCUCUAACAACUCUGUAUGCAAUAGAUAUACGGAAAACAAGACGAUAGUAAUAAUGAAAAAAUUAGAAGAGGCUACUAGAAUGAACCAAUGAAUAUGCCUAUAGAAUAUGAUAAUGUUUCAACAACUCUGUACUUAAAUGAUAUGUUCAACAAUCAACACUAACAAAAAAAAAAAGCCACUUGAAAGACAUGAAAAACACUAUUGUUAGGGGUUUUUAUUUUUUUCCAAGGAAAACAAAAAAAACCGUGUGGAUAUGAAUGUAAUCAAUAUCUGUCAUCAACAAGAUAUACCUACCUAUUGUGAUGAUGUCUCAAUAACUCUGUAUGCAAAAGAUACGAGGAAAAGAAGUAGAUAAGAAUAGUGAAACAUAUAGAAAGUGAUGAUGUUUCAACAACUCUGUACUUUAAAGAUGUGUUCAACAAAUCAACGCUAAUAAAGGAAGCUAUGUGAAAGAUGUGGAAAACACUUUUGUUAGGGGGAUCUUUUUUAGGAAAAAAAAAAUAUUUGGAUAUGAAUGUAAUUGGUAUCUAUUGUCAACCUACCUAUUGUGAUGAUGUCUUAACAACUAUGCACGCAAAAAACAUGAGGAAAACAAGUUGGCAGUAAUAUUGGAAAAAAUAGAAGAGGAACUCAUAAUGAUUGUAAUUGAUAUCUAUCAUCCGAUAGAUAUGUAUAUAUAAUAUAAUAUCUUUCUAAUAAUUCUAUACUUAAAAGAUAUGUUCAACGAAUCAAUACUUCCAAAAGAAGCUAUGUGAAAGACGUAAAAAACACAAUUAUUAGGGGGGUGUUUUUUUCUUAAGGAAACAAACAAAUUUGUGAAUAUGAAUGUAAUCGGUAUCCAUUGUCAAUAGAUAUACCUACCUCUUAUGAUAAUGUCUCAAAUAGCUCUGGACGCAAAAGGCAUGAGUAGUACAAGUCAACAAUAAUAGUGGAAAAAUUAGAAGAGAACACUAGAAUAGAUGUAAUGAUGUCUCGACAACUUUGUACUUCAAAGGCGGCAUGUGGAACAAAUCAACAUUGACAAGAGAAGCUACGUGAAAGACGUGGAAAACACUAUUGUUAGGGGAUGUGUUUUUUUUUCCCUAGGCAAAAGAGAAAAAAAAAAGAUGAGAAUAUGAAUGUAAUCAGUAUCAAUUAUGAUAUAUACCUAUUGAAUAUGAUGGUAUAUCAAUAACUCUGUGCUUAAUAGACAUGUUGAACAAAUCAACACUAACAAAAUAAGCUAUGUGAACGAUGUGGAAAACACUAUUGUUAGGGUAGUUUUUUUUUUUUGUAGGAAAAAAAAGUGUGGGUAUGAAUUUAAUCGUAUCCGUCAUCAACAGAUAUACCUACAUAUUGUGAUAAUAUCUUAAUAAUUAUGUACGCAAAAGAUAUGAGAAAUAUAAGUUGAUAGUAAGAGUGAAAAAUUUAGAAGAGGACACCCGAAUGAAUGUAAUCGAUAUUCGUCAUCCAAAAGAUAUGCCUAUAGAAUGUGAUGAUAUCUCAACAACUCUGUACUUAGAAAGCAUAUGGAACAAAUCAAUACUAACAAAAAAGGGCUACAUAAAAGACUUGAAAAACAAUAUUGUUAGGGGAGUGUUUUUCUUUUUUCUCAAGGAAAAAGAAAAAAAAAGUAUGGAUAUAAAUGUAAUCGGUAUCCGUUGUUAAUAAAUAUACCAACCUAUUGUGAUGAUGUCUCAAUAACUCCAUACGCAAAAGACAUGAGAAAAACAAGUCUAUUAAUAGUGGAAAAAUUAGAAGAGGAUACCAGAAUGAACGCAAUUGUAGAAUAGAUUUCAUUCAUUAUGAAAGGUAUUGAUUUCAUUCAUCGAGAUAAUAUAUAUUUAUAUAAGUUUUGAGGAAUAGAUUUCUCUCGAUCAUUUACUUAAAUUACCUAAUCAAAUCAAUUACUUAAAUCUGAUCCUCAUGUCAUUGAGGAUGUAAGGAAUGCAACAUGUCAUUCCAUGUUUGUGUUCAUCAUGAUCUUCUAUCAAUGUUAUCUCAAACAAUUUUGUACUUAAACAAAUCAAUAUUAACAAAAGAAGUUACGUGAAAAACGUGAAAAAUACUCUUGUUAGAGAAGUGUACUUAAAAGACACAUUUAACAAAUUAACACUUCCAAAAGAAAUUAUAUGAAAUAUGUAGAAAACAUUGUUAGGGGGUGUUUUUCUUUCGCAAGAUAAAUAAAAAGGGUAUGGAUAUGAAUAUAAUCAGUAUCCAUCGUUGAGAGAUAUAUCUAUCUAUUGUGAUAAUAUUUCAACAACUCUAUAUGCAAAAAAUAUGAAGAAAAUAAGUCAACAUUAAUAGUGAAAAAAUUAAAAAAAGGACAUCAGCAUAAAUGUAAUCGAUAUCCAUUGUCCAAUAUAUAUGCUUACAAAAUGUGAUGAUGUGUCAACAACUAUGUACUUAAAAGAAGUGUUCAACAAAUCAAUUCUAACAAAAACGCCACAUGAAUGAUGUAGAAAUCACUAGUGCUAGGGUUUUUUUUCUAAAAAAAAAAAUGGAUAUGAAUGUAAUGUCUUAAUAAUCCGUUCCCAAUAGAUGUACUUAUGAUAAUGUCUUAAUAAUCCUUAAUGCAAAAGAUAUGAGAAAAAUAUAUCAAUGAUAAUAAUAAUAAUUAAAAAUUAUUUAAAAGAGUGUAAUCAGUGGAAAAUAUUAUUUUCAGAGGUGUUUUUUUUUCAAAAAAAUAUAUAAAGUAUGGAUAAUGAAUGUCUCAGCAAUGAUGUGUCAACACACUUUGUCUGAGCCAUGACACGUUAAGCAAUGGAACGUGCUGCAAACAUGUGAACGGGUCACCUGUGAAGUAGGCCCACUAGGCCCCCAAACACACACACACACACAUAUGUGAACGGGUCACCUGUGAAGUAGGCCCCCCCCCACCACACACACAUAUCUCGUCGUCAAGAGUCGCUCUAUCUCAUCGCCAACCGUCUUUUGUCAGUCAAGUGCGAGCUUUCGGGGUCACUGCUUCAUCGGUCGUGCUUGGGGACUGAUGUUCAGGCGGUGUUGUGCGAUCGCUUGGUCGAUCCCGGGCAUGUCCGUUGGUGACCAUGCGAAGAUGUUAGCAUUUUCAACAAGUAGGUUGAUGAGCCACUCUCUUUCCUCCUUCGGUAGCCUCGACCCAACCCUAACGACCCUAUCUGGUCGAUCGUGACAUAGAGGGACUUCUUAGGUAUGCUCAGUCGGUUCGGGUCAUUGUGUUGGCUUGGUGACGUCCCGAGAGUCGGCAAUGGGAUGCUCGUGUCAUGGCUUCUUGGGUAGUGUGACCGUCGCUAGGUAACAUUGUCGGGAUUCCCGAGGAUUGCCCCUUGCUUCUCCUACCCCUGCUUGGGUCGAAAAUUUUAUCGCGCGGGGGUAUGUGGAGAUGACCACUCUGAGCUUGUUCAGGGUUGGUCAGCCUAGGAUGGUGUUGUAGGGUGAAGGGAGUUCCACCACCAUAAAGAUUACUAUGAUCAUCUUGACUCGUGGGUCGUCGCCCAAGGUGAUUGGCAGGACGGUCGUGUCGAGGGAUGAAAUGGAGUCGCUUGUAAAUUCGGUAAGCGUCGAUUGACUUGGGGCGAGGUCUUCCUUGGUUAGGUUGAGUUUCCGGAAGGUGUCGAAGUAUAGGAUAUCGACGGAGCUCCCGGUGUCCACCAUGAUCCUUUUAACCCGAGCAUUGGCGAUCAUGGCCAAGAUGACUAGCGCGUCGUCAUGCUCCGGGUGUUCAAUUUCUCCUGUUGGGAAGGUGAUAUGGGGCAGUUAGGCUUGUCGCGGGCAUUUUUCAGUGGCCACUCGGGCAUAAGCCUUUCGCCCUGUCAUGCUAUCUCCCUCUGAUGCCAGACCCUCACUGAUCACAUCAAUCUGCUUCUCGACCGGACCGGAGGGAGGGGGAGACAUUUCGCGUGGCCUCUUAAUCUAGUGACCUAAGUGCCCCCAGCGUAUGAGUUCUUCAAUUUGAUUCUUGAGGUCACGUCGGUGUCGUGUCCAUAAUCGUUAUGAAACCUACAGUUCUUUAAAUGGUCCCUGAGCUCAUGCGGUGCCUUCAUCGAGUUUGGGGCCUUCAGGAGUCCCUUCUCCCUGAUCUGCAGGAAUAUCUCGGUCCUGGAGGACUUUAAAGGCGGGAGUGGGGGCCUCAGGAGUGUUGCAUUGGGUCAGUCGAUUCUCCUUCUUGGCGGUACCGGGGGCUGCCCUUAGGUUGGUUCUGGUCGCAGCCUCUUAUUCUCUUCGCACUUUCCCACCACCAAUGCUUCGGCAGCCACGUAUUGGUUAGCAUGUUGAAGCAUUUCGGGGAUGGUCGUAGGAGGUCACUUGACCAGCGACCAGAAGAACCUGGAAGGUCGGAGUCCCAUUAGAAAGGCCUGCAUUAUCAAAGAAGGGUGAUCGUCGAGCAACCCCCGGAUUUUAGUAGCAAAGCAUGUCAUAAAAUGAGAAAGUGGCUCGUCGUCCUUUUGGCUGAGGCCGAGGAGCAGAGCUACGGACGACCUCGGUCACACACUGGCUAGGAAGUUGAGCUCGAACUCUUUGGCCAAUCGGUCGAAAGAGGCGAUCGAGGCCGGUCUGAGUCGGUUUUACCACAUCCAAGCUGGGCCUCAAAGCAAGGUGGGGAAUGCUCUACACAUGAGGGCGUCAAAAGUACCGUAUAGGGCCAUCUGGGCUUGAAAGGUGGCGACAUGUUUCGUUGGAUCAAAGCUGCCAUCAUAGGCUUCGAGAAUAGGAAGACAAAAGCUUGGAGAGACUGGCUUGUCCUGAACCUCGAGUAUGAAAGGCAAUCCCCCUGAAGAGGCCUCGUUGAGCUCCUUCUUGGAUAUACAAAACUCUUAUUGAACCUCGUCCAGGCGCCGAUUUAUCGAGUGCAGUUGUGCCUGGAGGGAGUCCGCCAAGUUAGACGAUAGUGUGUCUGGCUCGGGGCUGCCGGUGUGGGGGUGUUGAAGGCUUCAUGCGUCAUGCGUGGGCGUCAGCCGUCGUUCGGGUGACGCGGCGAUGUUCGUCAUCACGAGCUGUCAAGGAGCGAGGGGUGGUGUAGGAGAGGGUGGAGGCUGCACGGGAGCUAGGGGUGGCAAUUUCCCUUGUGGCGUCGACAGGAGCAUUGGGGGUUGUUCAGGAGGCAAGACGAGGGGAACAAUGGUUUGCAUCAUCCCCGUCGGGACUUGAACUUAGUGCGUCAGGCUGAGGAAUGCCUCAGCGGAGAUGGAAGGUUGAGCGGCAACCACUCCCGGGGGUGAUAACCCCGGGUUAGUGAACAGUCGCCAAUAGCACCUCGGGGUCUCUAUGGAGUCGUUGGCCUCCUGCUCGAGGGGGAGGCGGGUGUUGCUCCCCUAACCCAGGGGUUGAGUGGGUCGGGAGGCGCUCGCUACCCAAGUGUUCGGUCGUGUUGCCAGGUUGAGGUUGAUCCUGCAUCAUUGGGCCCUCCUAGCGCCAAAAUGAUAGUGAUCCUUUACACCAUGGUAGAGGGAGUCAGCACAGCUUGGUUCGGUCCUAGGUGUGCAAGAUCAUCCACAUUGGUGUUUGGUUGACGAGGAUCGAAGUCUGGUGAGGUCAGGCUUGGGCUUUGGCUCCAAAGUCGGGAAACUCCCUUUGGCUGACCGCUUGCCUCUUUAUCACCGGUCCCUGCACACAGGUCAGGGUUGAGAAGGGGGCUCUCGAUUUCGACCCCUCCGAAGUUGUUAGAAUUGAGUGAAAAAUCAGCGAGAGAUCACUUGUUGUCAGCCCCACGAGGGGUUCUUAUCCUUCCACCAAAGGGCCAACCGUACCUAUCAUAUUUAUGAUUGUCAGUGUUGUACUUGGUCGGCAUCAUCCUGACUCCUACGGAAUGGCACGGUACUCGGUCGAUGCUGUCCUGGCCUUUGUGGGACGGCGCUGUACUUGGUCGGCGUCGAUCUGGCCUUUACAGGACGACACUGCCACGACUCUUACGGGACGACGGGGACGGCGCUAUACUCGGUCGGCACCGUCCCGGCCUCGGGACAGCACUAUGCUCGAUCAAUGUCGUCCCGACUCUUGCGAGACGACAUGGUACUCGGUUGGCAUCGCCCGACCUUUGCGGAAUCGACGUUGACCGGGGGGUACAAUCUAAUGUGUUGACCUUGAUGUUGAUGUGGCUAUGGAUAGUGGUUGGAGGACAGGUUACCAAAAUAUGUGCUAUAAUAGUACAAUGAGAAGAUAACACAAUUAUGCCCUGUUAUUCAUCAGAGUCUAUUUCGGCAAGCAGCUUCAAUUAUUGGAAAUCCCAUUCCACGGUAAUGACGCAUGGGGUUAUCUUAAGGAUUUUUGUUAAAACUUAAUAUGAAUCUUUCACACAUCAUCUUUAAUUUUUAAUAUUUAAAUUUAGAUCUCUACAUUAUAAAUAGAUCCUUAAGAAAAAAAAAAGAGAGAUGUUACGACAGGUGCGGACGAUUGAGAAAACAUAAAUGCUAACUAAUAUUUAUGUUUUUCCCACCCUCCUAUUCUAUUAAAAGUUUAAACGUAUUUUAGUUUAAAACAUUUUAAAUUAAGAUAUUAAAAAACAUUUAUAUCUUAAUUAAAUUAAGAAAUAUAUCUCUAGUAAACACUUUUAAAUAAAAUUAUUUGUGCAAAAACAUUUUUUUAAUAAAAAAUGUUGAGCGGUUUUAAAAUCGAAUCAGACAAUUCAAUUUUAAUUUGUCGAGCGAUUUUUAGAGAUUCAACUCUUAAAUUUUAAUUCAAUAGACUUGUUAAAUUAAUUAUUUCAAAAAAUAUUUUUGUUAUUAGGAUAGAAGUUUUUUCUCCACCUUCGGAAUGUUUGAAGGGUUCGAAUAACCCGAUGCACAGAAUGUCAAUAGAUGUAACCAACAAUAAAUUUUAACUAACUAAUUUAGUUAACAAAAAUUAACUAAAAAUGAUUUAGAUCAUGGAAUCGAAAUAAAUCAGUACUUCAAAAACAUGUUGAACAAAUCAAUGCUAACAAAAGAAAUAAGCUAUGCGAAAGACGUAAAAAAAAUUUAUUAUUAGAUGGGUGUUUUUUUUUCCAAAGAAAAAAAAUAAAAAACUUGUGAAUAUGAAUAUAAUCGGUAUCUAUCGUCGUCAACAGAUAUAUCUAUCUACGUAUUGUGAUAAUAUCUUAAUAACUAUGUAUAUAAAAGACAUGAAAAAACAAAUCGAUAAUAAUAAUUAAAAAGUUAGAAGAGGAUAUCAGAAUAAAAAUAAUCGAUAUUAAUGGUCUAACAGAUGUACCUACAUAAUAUGAUUAUGUCUCAAUAAUUCUCUACUUAAAAGAUAUCAAAUCAAUACUUGUAAAAAAAAAAAAACUAUGUGAAAGACAUCAAAAAAAAUAAUAUAUUGUUUUUUAAAGUAAAAGAAGAUAAAGAUUGAAUAUGAAUGUCUCAACCACUCUGUACGAGCCAUCACACAUUAAUCAAUGGAACGAGCUGUAGACUUGUGAAACACAAGUCGACAGUAAUAAAAGAUAACGUGGAAAACGACUACGCCGGGGAACCACCCAAAAACCCCAAUAGAGUCCGAUGAGAUGGCAUGCUGCUCUGUCAUUCACUAUCCUAGUGGAAUCCAUUAUCAAUAGCCCGUCCGGAACAGGUGGCCUGUGAAGUAGACCUCCAGAAAAAGAAAACAUAGUACGAUGAUGAGAUGACACAAUGGUGCUCUAUUAUUAUUGGUCAGACUCUAUUUCGACGACCCCGGUGGGAUCGAAUAUCUAAAGCUGUCGCCGUGCCCGUACUAAUCUCAGAAGAAAAUAAUUUUCUAUGUAAUUUUUCAUAUAUUAGUAACGUAUAUUGUAUAUACAUAUACGGAUUCCUGUUUCUUCUGUGUAAUUUGUGUUUUAUUUUCUAACAUGAAAAAGACAAACUAUCAAAAUGUUUUCUAAGACGAAAUCACAUCAUCAUGCCUAAUUAAUACUGUGGGGGCCCGUGAAUAAGAAAAUGAAGAAACAAAGUUACCUGCGGCAUUGAUUCCAUUAAACACGUGGUGAGCUCUGCAUUCAUCGGCAAGCAGCUUCAAUUAUUGGGAAUCCCUGUAUGGGCCUUCAUGUUCGUGCUACCAUCUCCUUGUAUAUAUAUGUCACUGGGCACCUCACCGUCUUCCACACAAAGUAUCAGUUACUCCUAUCCUCCUCCUCCUCCUCUUCCAAUGGCGCAAAAGAUUGGCGCGGAUACACCAUCCUGGCCUGAGCUCCUCGGAUCCGAGCACUGGUCCGGCCUUCUCGACCCUCUCGACCAAUCCCUUCGCGUCUUCCUCCUCCAAUGCGGUGACAUGUGUCAGGUCACCGCCGACUCCUUCAUCAGCGACGACCACUCCAAUUACCGUGGCAUGUGCCGCUACCGCCCCAGCACCCUCCUCGACGAUGUGUUCUUCCCCUACGCGGCCAACUACGACGUCAAGGAGUACCUCUACGCCAUGUCGAUUAAUUGGUCAAACUUCACCGAGGAGUCUAAUUGGAUGGGCUACAUCGCCGUCUCCAAGGACGCAUACACGAAGCGUACCGGGCGCCGCGAGAUCUACGUCGUAUGGCGCGGCACGAUGCGGCCGUCGGAGUUCAUCGAGGGCUUAGUGAUCAGUCUCGUGCCCUUCGACCCCGACAACCAAGAUGUGCAAGAUGUGAAGGUCGUGAACGGCUGGAACGACAUCUACACGUUGAAAGACAGCGGUUCGCAAUUUCCAUGCAACGCAACCAGUGCAAGGGAGCAGUUACUGAGUAAGUUAAGCGAGCUAGUGAAGCUAUACAAGAACGAGAGCCUUAGCAUAGUGUGCGUUGGCCACAGCUUGGGAGGCGCCCUCGCCAUCUUGAGUUCUUUCGAUAUAGUGAACAAAGGACUGUCCAAGAUAGAAGGCAAGGAGGAGCACUUCCCAGUAUGUGCCGUGGUGUUUGAGAACCCCAAAGUUGGGAACAAGGCCUUCAAUGAAAGGUUUGAGAAGCUGCCCAACCUUCGAGCUCUACGUGUCCGGAAUACUUGGGACAUCGUUCCAUAUUGGCCACUUCCAACCGACUACGUUGUCACCGGCUCAGUUCUGGACAUAGACUCCAAGCUGUCGCCCUACUUGAAAGUUCUGGACAUAGACUUCAAGACGUCGACCAUCUUGAAAAUCCUUGCGAGUAACCACGACCUGCAAGUGGUCCUCCACACGGUGGCCGGGUGGACCUGGAAGGACGUCGAGUUCCACUUGAAGGUGGAGAGGAGCCUGGCGCUAGUGAACAAGCAGGGCGGCUACUUGAAGGAUGAGUUGCAGAUACCCGAGGCGUGGUGGGUGGAGAAGAACAAAGGAAUGGUACCGGACAAGGAUGGAGAGUGGUCCGAGACACCUGGAUGGAACUGCAAGUCAUCCAGUAAUGGCCACCAGCUCUAAGGAUCCAAUGCCUGCCUGCCUAUCUACCCUAAAUAAAGUUGUCACUCCCUGCUCUCACUCUAUCUCUUUGUGUCGUCACGGGGACGGGGGAGGGAGAUGACAAGAAGAACUAGUGCAGGCCUGCAUGCAGCAGUCACGAACGUACGCUUCAAACUUGUGUGGUGAUCGGUUUCUACUAGGUGUGUGUAAUUGGGUCAGUAAGUGAAACGCCAGUGAAGCACUUGCUUCGCUGAAUAAUAAUAAAUAAAAAUCCUGUGGUUUGAACAUCGGCUUCACCUUCUCAUCGUCGUCGAUCACAUCCAUGGUGGUAAUACCUGCUACGAAACGAAUGAAUGGUAGCUCUCCCUUCAUCUCGUUCUACGGUGCCAUGCGAAUGGACGAAUCCAAUAUGUAGUUUAGUUGGAGGAGACGAUGACGCGACAUUAACCAGACCUUUGCGCGCGAUCGAGGACCAACUACGGCGGAAGGGAAGUGGAACGAAGACCACGAAACCCGCGACGCACGGACAAUUAAGAUGGACUCAUAAGCUAUUGGAUCCUGACAUGGAUUAUUUUGCUCGAUGCAAACAGCUCUUAGACGUCAACGUGAAUUUUAAUUCCAUCCGAGAAUUAUUUUGCUCGAUGCAAACAGCUAUUAGAUGUCAACGUGAAUUUUAAUUCAUUUUAAAACAUAUGAAAUGAUCCAUACUUGCACCCUUUUUCUUUUCCAGAAAAAGAAAGCUCCGACUUGACAUUUGGCAUGACAAGUUUCGACAACUGUCGUCUACCUUUGCGUGCGAUCUCUACGAGAUUUUAAGAAUAGAAAAACAAAACAAGAAAAAAGAAGAGCCAAACAACAACACACGAAAACAUAUCAUAUAUAGAGAUGAGGAACUAACUACAGUUGGUUAGGGUGAACAACGAGGCAGCACCCUUCAGAUCGUGUUCCUCCUGCGCAUGCUCCACCGGACUCGUCUCAUCCUUUAGCUCCGGCACUUGGGUGCUGUAACAUCAAACAAAGCCAACCUGAUGAGAUUACACGCACACACACACACACACACAGACAGAUAGGUGACCUAGCUAUUGCCUCGUCCCACGUCUCAAUCUGUCCAACCCAACCAUCGAGGCCAUUCCCGUGUUUUUUUAGAAUUCAAUUCAUGAAUAUAAACGUUUCAAGGGAAAAUAAACGAACAAACAAAUAAAUAAAUAAAUAAAAACUUUUACCUGCUGCAACGUGGAUGACCGGCCUCAUCGGCGUUAUCCUCGUCCCCUCCCAUCGACGUCUGUCUGACAUCGAACAUGUCUACCAAAGGCUUUACGUCCUCGUCCUCCACCAUGCAGUUGAAGUGCGGCUGGUGUUGUAGACUCGAUAGAUCAUUGUUAUCGUUAUUACUAUUAUUAUUGAUUAUGAUGCUUGUAUUUGGGUGGUUGUUUUGAUGAUCUCUGGUGAUGUCAUCGUCGUAGCACAAGUAAUUAUAGUAUUGCUGUUGAUCCUGCUGGUUGAUCGUAGGGAAAAUAUUACCACCAUAAAUCACGUUAUCCACAUCCUCGGACGUGGCCGUGUUAAGCAGAAGAUUAGGGUGGACCUCCAGGUCGGACGCGACAGAGGCCUGGGCAGCCUGCGCACGGCAGACGGCGAGUUGCCUCAGCACGAGGGCGAGCUCAUUGGAGUCGCGCUCGAUCUGGUACUCGAGGUCGCGGAUGAUGCGGUAGCAACCGCCGACGGGAUCGAGAGCACGCAUAUCGGACUGGUAUAUGAUGGUUUUCAUGGCUUCGGCAUGCUGGUAGGGAUCGAGGUUGCGGAUGAUUUUGAGGAUAUUGCUAACGCCGAACAGGCGGUGGGCGUUGAGGAACUUGUGCUGCUGGUUUGCCGGGAAGUAAGGGGCGAGGGUGCAGUCGGGGUUGCACUUGCGGCGUUGGUAUUUGCAGGCGGCGCAGGCCUGGGUUGCGGUGGCCUGGGAGGAGGAGGAGGUGGAGGAGGAGGAGGAGGAAAAGCGGGAGGAGGUGUUCUUGCUGCUUCCUGCUUUGGUGGUAGUUGUAUGGGAUGCAGUGCCAGCGAUCAUGAUAAGAUCGAGGGGUGGGGCGACGAAGGUGGCACAGGUCCUGGGCCUACGGCUCCGGCCGGCCUCACUCGCUCAGCGGAGGAGGAGGAGGAGGAAGAGGAAGACGAAUAUUAUUUGUUCUUGUUAUUUCUGAUACCGAUGGGAUCGGUAGUGGGCAGCAAAAGGAGCCGAGCCGCCCAUCGAUGGAAAUGCGCGGAGGAGGAAGGAAUGGCCGGGAGCGGAGAUCGGUUGGAGAGACGACCAUUUCUUCGUGACACGUCAUAAAAUACAACGCAGAGGAGAGAGAGAGGGUGUAACCUUCCUAUUUAAUUUUAAUUCGGAUCAUGUUGGACGAGACGACCAUUUCUUCGUGACUCAUCAUAAAAUACAUCGCAGAGGAGAGAGAGAGAGAGAGAGAGUACGUGUGUGUGUGUGUGACCCUUCCUACUUAAUUUUAAUUCGGAUCGUGUUGGAGGUGCACGUACCUGACUGGCUCGCCCUUUCCCUGUCCAUCAUUUGUCUCCACAAAGAAGAAACUGAGCUAGCCCAUAUCAGCAGCUAUCCAUUCCCUGUCUGAUAUCUUAUCCACAGUUAAAAGGAGCAAAGGAGCAACGAAACUGAGCCAGCCCAUAUCAGCAGCUAUCCAUUCCCUGACUGAUAUCUUAUCCACAGUUAAAAGGAGCAAAGGAGUUGCUCCUUUGCUAUCUGGAUGAUGAUUCAGAUUCGAGUCGUGAAAGCAUCCUCCCUAUACCAUUAUAUUAAAUCUUCCCAACUCCAAUGUUGAUAGGAUUCAAACAGUCAUUAGCGCAUUACAUGUAUGUAUACAUAUACACACACAUAUUUGGAAUCAAAAGAGCAGGACUUCUCGUUUAUUCUAAUCCGGCUCUAGUCUGUAAAUAAAUUUUAAGUAGUCGAAAGGUUAAUUGGAAGUUAAGCUUCGAUGUAUUAGUAGUUAACUUCACCAUCCAGAAAAUUUAUUGCGAGGUGGGUAACAAAAGCCGGCGACUUGUACUGCUGUCGUUGGGUCACCAGAUGAGAUGUGGAUUAUAUGCGGCGGCGGACGGAUCAUCCAUCCUGCCCCCUUAUUUAUAUACCACAAGAUGUGGAUCUUAAGAGUUUAGAUAUAAGUUACUCAUUUCUUUCUCGGGUUUAAAAGACAAGGGAGACGGAUUUUGAAGCUGUUGGUUGUACAUUCCUUGUGCCCUUCGGGUAUUUUUACUUUGCUCCACUGUACUUGGCGAGACUUUCCAUCGACAGAUGUUCAUGCUUUGCUUUGCUUUGCUUUGCUUGAUCCUUUUUGUUCUCAGAUAUGUCAUCAACAUCUCCCAACAACCUGCAACCGACCCAUUGAUCCAAGUUUUCACUUUCAUGGAUUCAGAGGUUUGAGAUCACUUAGUUGCAAGAAGGAAACUUCCAAGUACCAAAGGCUAACCAAAGCAAACGCAUCUUUUAUCAAGAAACGUGAAUUUGACAAGAAAUCCAUCACAGAUAGAAAUUGUAACUCGAUCAACACUCAUCUAUUACCAGUAACGUUUCAGUUGAUGGUAGCCAGCAAGAUUGUGUCUGGUACAGAAUGUAUGGUUCUCGACUCGUUUGCACGGCCAUAUUCGAGAGUUCCAAUCAAACCAGCUGCAGCUCUCGUUCCCAAAUCAAUAGGUUGAAGCCAACGGUCCUGAAGGAUAAAGAUUCUUGCUCCCAAAUCAAUUAAGUUCGUUCUGUAUUCAAUAUUUCCAUGAUAGUUGUGAAUACAUAUUAAAGCAGAUAUGAAUACAAUUGUUUAGCUGACGCUGUCACAUAUUCAUAUAUGCCAUCUGUAAGUGGUAGACAUAGUUUAACAUGCAUAUUUUUUUAUCCCGAGAGAAACUCAAAUGCAUAGUUGCUAAAGGUUCUCCGAAUGAUUAAGCCAAUCCUCAUGCCAUGGUUCCAUUGUUUAAGUGAGAGAAUAGAGCAUCAAUAUUGGAUACAAAUCCUUUAUGCAGCCGAAGGAGCCGAAGAUUUUGCUCGAGGCGGUACUCUUAGCAAAGUCUUCAUCAUGUCAUAUGCUGUAAACCCUAUGGCUACCGAAGGAACAACCUGCACACAUCAAACAAGCAAUUAUUAGUGAAUCGUUGCCAUCUAUUAACGGAUAUAAUCACCAAGUAUUUUUAAGUGAAAAAAAAAAGAUAAAUAUGGGUUUAGUGAUAAGAGCAAGUGCAGUUAUUUUUGAACGCACAAUACAAUAUUGUGUUGCACUACAAACAGUAUAUUUCUAAUAGAGGCAAUAAAUGGAUUUUGUAAAAGUGAGACACAAGACUGAUUAUAAUAGGGACAGUUUCUUUGGACCUUAAAUAAUCCAACCCAUAGUACCACAUAGCAUUACAACUAGUUAAUUAGUAAACUUGUGACAAGACAAAAUUAGCUUAAGAGAGUACCUAUGCAAAAGAAUUAAUCAUUCAAACUCACAUCUUGAUAAACGACAUCAACAAAGCAUAACCUGAAGCUAAGCAUUGAGAAGCACAACUGAUCGAGACAAUUUGGCCCUCAGAUGUCGCUUAAUUUUCUUUCAUUUUUUUCACUUCUGAUCAACAGGAGGUGACUUCCUAUCAUUGGUCCAGAAACCAUGGAAACAAACUACUGUAUUCCUCCACUUCAAAACUACAGCAAGAUACUAUUUCUCAGGUGUCCUUCAAGUGAGCUGAUAAUUAACUACUACAUAUAUGCAUGAAUAGGAUAGCUUGAGACUCAUGAAAGACAUCCUUGAAAUUAUUACUUUCCAAUCCAUUAAACAACUAAAAGAUGAGAUUUAUAAAAGGUCAUGUUUCAUAAUUUUGUCCUAGCUAUAUAGCAAAAUAUUCCCUGCUAGAUAACAAAGUAUCUCAUAUAUUAGGCCAAUCCCAUGGCUGACUAUGAUUCCACUUUUCAGUAAGGUACAGAAAGUUCAGAUCCUGCUGGAGAAAUGCAUCCUCCACACUAUAGCAUCUAAAUUGAUCAUUAAAUUUCCUCCCUUAUAGAAAGAAACAGCUAAUGGAAUUUUCCAUGUACCAUCGCAGUACUUGUCCAACCUUUGUGGUCAUGCAGAAAUUCAGCUCAUAGAUCUUCUCAUUUGGACAAUUUUUAAAAUAAAAAUGAGAAGCAUCACUUAGAAUCAAUUGCCAAAACACAACCAAGUCUAUCAAAAAUUAAUCUUUGCCAGAUCUUCAUCCAAUAACAUCAGGUCAGUCCUUACAGAAGGGAAUAGUUCUAGAUCACAGCAAGUUCUGGUGAGUCAUAAUUUUUUUUCCCCUUAUCUAAGGACGAGUUCAAAAUUGACAAUUUUUAAAAUAAAAAUGAGACGCAUCACUUAGAUUAAAUUGCCAAAACACAACCAAUUCUAUCAAAAAUUAAUCUUUACCAUAUCUCCAUCCAAAAACACCAGAUCAGUCCUUACAGAAGGGAAUAGUUCUUGAUCACAGGAAGUUCUGGUGAGUCAUAAUUUUUUGUCCCCUUGUAUAAGGACGACUUCAAAAUUGACCAUCUGAACAAAAAAAUAUUUAGGAGUUUCUGGUUGCCACUACGUUAAAUGCAUGCUUACAUGCACUUACCUGCUUCUAAAUGCAUGCUUACAGUACAUGAACUUGCUUACCUAUUUAAUAAAUGCAUGCUUACAGUACAUGUACUUACCAACUUCAUAAAUGCAUGCUUACAGUACAUGUACUUACCUUGACAUAGUUGAGGCUCAGACCAGCAAAUAGUUGCCUCCAUCCCUGAGUAUGGAGGAUGAAUGAAAGCCCUUGGACUGUUCCCCUGAUGAGUGGAGCACCUGGGUGAUUUAGCGAUUGCUGAUUUUGAACCUAAGAACAUAAAGAAACUAAUCACAAACUACAUCCUUCAUGAUUGGAAGAAAAAAUCAUCCUACUGUUAUCACAGAAUGACCACUAAAAGAAGGCACAGGACAACAUCAAGUGGUAGAAUACCUGCAUCUGUCUCCUGACCACAUCUAGUGGAUAAGUGAGAGUCUGCCCAAAUAAACCAGCUAAAGCCCCACAUGAGAGGCGUAGAACUACAGACUUUUGGUAUUCUUCAGGUACCCGAGCCUUGAGAUCUUCAUAUAUAUAAAAUUUCAGACCAGCAUAAGGAAGGAUACCAAUAAGCGUAGGACCUGCAUCAACAUAACAUGAUAGUUAUCAUACUGCCAUGCUUGAAUCAUUUAAUGGAGAUCUGUCAUGAUCACAGCUUAUGUCAACACAAAAUAUUGCAGCACCAACUUGAGAGAUUACUGGCAUCAAGCAUACAUCAGUGCACGGUCCAUUCAAAUGUGCAAUUCCAGAAGAAUGAAAACAGAGAAAUAUUAACUGGCGUAAACCACAUGUUUUGUGUCAAGGUUCGCAAUACCGUACCGUACCGAUAUUUCGACCUGAGCUCGGUACCGGUACGGUACGGUAUACCGAGCGGUAUACCCAGGCGCGCCGAGUACUAUAGCACUGCUACAGUGCUACAGUAUACUCGGACCGGUAACAGGCGAUCCGCGUACCGACAACCUGUCGGACCGAUACAUACCGCCCGUACCAGGCGGUACGGUUCGGUAUGGCAGACCCUGUUUUGUGUAGCCUAAGCUUCUUUUGAAACUGAUAAAUGAUUAUUCAAAGUUAAGGAGCAGGGUGAUCAUUAGAAAGCUUACGCAAUAACUGACAAAGGGAAGGAUAAACAUAACUCCAAUUACACAAACUAAAGAAGCAGGGUGGUUGUUUGAAAGAUUAUACAAGAGCUUAACGUACCUACUCCUCGAUAUAGAGAACGUAUCCCACCUUCCAUGUAGACCUUCUUAAACACAUCUCCAAUACCAGUAUAAGCAGGCUGAGGACUAAACAUUCUUAGACCACUACUCAAUCUCCCUGGACUGUUUACCUGAAACGAUAGUUUAAGCAAACAUCAACCAAGGCACCACGAUCACAUUGAAUACAAACAAAACUGUCCAACGUACAAAAAUAGCUAAGAGGUUCUAAGUAGACACGAAAAGGAAGAAGAAAAUACAAUGCUACCCUGGUUAUACUACUACCCAGGGAUUAGAUGAUAGCACAAAUAGGGCAAAUUUUGACAGGAACAAAAUCAAUCAACACAAUGACUAAUUACUACAAUAAUCUGAAAUAUGGCUGAGUGACCUAAGCUUAUCAACCAAUUGACAUUAAUGCCUAGAAUUAGUUUGUUUGUCUUAACAAAAUACUCCAAAAUCCUUAAUUGCAUGAAAUGCACAUGCAGAACAUCAGAAACAAAGUUUGAGAAGAUCAGAAAUCAGGCAAGAAAAUAAGAAUAAUAUCCAUAAGAGCAUAAGAAUUAGACUUUGCAUUUACCUGAUAAGCCAGCUUAGUCCGAGCUAAAUCUAAUGGAUAGGUACACAAAACAGCAGUCCCACCAGCAGCUGAACCAGCUAGAAGAUCAACAAAUGGUCCCGAGAUAAAUGAAGAAUGAUUAUUCAGAAUCCAACAACGAUACUGCUCAUAUGUCAUGAAGUGUAGUGCUGCAUAAGGUACAAUUCGGAGCACACUAGCACCAUUUCCUCUAAAAGACAAAAAUGACAAAUAUUAAAACGUAAAAAAACUAAUAAUUGUUUAAAAUGUAACUCUGCAGUUUUAUUAGUUUCUACUUACUUAUAGAAUCCAAAGAAGCCCUCAUGUUGCCACAACUUCCUCAAAGAUUGUAAAAUCCCAAGAGAUUUAAACCCUUCGGUUCUUGUCUGUCAAAGUAACAUUGAAAGCAUAAAUAACAUUAUAAAUCUAAUAAUAUAUAAGCCUUUUCAACAAAUUCCUGUUUAUCAUAUGUCCUCAAGAAGUUCUAGAAACUGUCACGACAAUGAUACAGAAAACAGAUGAGAAGCUAACAUCAUUUUUCACCUCAAGAAACAAGAUGAGAAAUAAAAUAGCACAAAUUUACGUGGCACUUGUUGACACAAUUUGACCUUAAAAGAACAGAUGACUAGAGAGAAACCUCAGCAUUAGCAAAUCAAACAACAGACAAUCAUUAAUGAAAGGUUUCAAAAUCCGAAAGGGCACAUGGUAUACCUUAUCUCAAAGCGUAAAAAUAUCUCUAUACUACAGUAACUAGCUACUAUGAACAUUUCGGUCAAAUAAAACCAUAACGAGACAACCAACCGAUUGGAGCUUCACACUUGGCCUAGAGUCCUUGGUGUAUUAUCUUACCCAUGUAUUUUGUGUGGAUAUACAAUUCAGAAAUACAUAAAAAAUCAACCCAUUGGAAAAAGUAGAGUAUCACUGAAAGAACAAGCAGAACUCCAAACAAGUGGUGAAAAACAAAAUAGCAUCUAAAAGAAUCAUCAAAUUAAAGACCACCAAUACUAUACCACUGUACUCUUAAAACUAGGAGAAAUUAAUUACUGCAUACAGCACCAACAUGGUUUAUGAUACUUAGGAAAAAAAGAAUAUAUGUCUACAAAAUGUUAUUCAUAAUCAACAACAAGUGAUAUAUUCGGUAGAACAUACUUUUAAAGAACCGCAGUUGAAGAAAAAUUCAUGACAAAGGCAUAAGCUAUUCUGGAGACACCUCACAACAGCCAAGAAAUUACAAGCUAAACGAAAGUUGCAAGAUUAGGCUCAGAGACGGGUGAAUAAAUCGAGACGACACCUCUUACAUCAUAUUCUAGAAAGGUUUAAACGAGACUUGGGACGAGACGCGGGAAUAUAACACAGUCAUCAAGAUAUAGCAAGCAAAGGGACGAGAUAACAAACCUGCAAUAUUAUCUUAAUGCGCUCAAGGGGUGCUACUGCAGUCUUCGAGAACGCCCCAGCGGCUCCACCGGCGAUCAACUCCUUAACAUAAACCGGCAACAAAUCCACCACAGAUACAUCCACCUUCGCAGCCGCUGCUGCGGAUGUCAUCGUCGAUCCUUGGGACGAAUCCAUAUUCCCAAUCCAAACGGAACCAGAACCUAAAUAGCGCUAUAUAUGUAACUAAAAGCGGAGGGAACGUAGAUGUCUAGUUACCCCGCUUGCAAUUUGGCGAACUCCUUAUCCCAUCGAUCUCUGGGGAGGCAAAAGAAGAAGUCUUUCCCAAGGAAGGAGCGCGGAGGCGGGGGGCGAAUGCCAAGAAACUGGUAGGGUUCCUUCGCAUCCGAAUCGGCCCCGGGGAGGAGAAGAUACAUCAACAGGGGAGGAGAUCUUGGGAUCCACAAAGAUCGAACUGGUAGCGAGGAGAUUAAAAACUCUAGAAGCGAUCGAUCAAUCCCAUGGAUCGACGACGAUCUCACCGAUUCCCAUACGAGGUCAACGACUCCGAAACCCCGGCGCGAUCGGGACCACGAUGAAGAAGAAUCGGAGAAGCAAAGGAAAAAAGGCGGUGGAAUUAGGGUGCCUCCGCUUCUCCGAAACUAACUUCUCCGCCUCCUCUACGCUAACGAUCCGCCCCAAUUAUAAUCCUCAGCGAUUUCCUCUUUCAUCAACGCUAAUCACGGGGGGAUACCGGAGACCGAAUAAGAGUUCGGGGAUAAGGAAAGGAUACCAUACGCAGGAUAAGAAUCCCUGUAUCGGUCGGCCACGGUGCGGACUUAUCGAGGCAAUCGAACGGUACAUGCGACCUCCAUCCGCCGCCGUCGUCGCAGCUGAUGGAUUCGUGUGAGUGUUUAUGCGGGUUGUUCCGCACGGAGUAAAAUGGCUCGUUCCCAUGUGGGCCCCGAAAGCAAAGAAGAGGGGGCCGGACCGAUACCAUUCCCACCCACGCCGUCUAAAUCUGAGCCCGAAAAGAUAUACGGGCCCAUCUAUCUAUCCAUCUUAUCUUCGUCGAUAAUAUUGUAUAGAUAUAAAGAUUGAAUGGGAGUGGUUGAUUUUAAAUCAAUCACAACAGUGGGGAGGGAUGAUAUUUCCUUAUAAUUAAAAGAAAAGAUAAUAGGCGGGCAAGCCACAAGACGAAAGCUUCUAUUUCAUGCAGGAGAGCUUGCCUGAGACCGUGCAUGGCGGCAGCAGGAAACGUAUGGUACCGUGGAAAAUGAUGCUAUAUAUGGCAUUGCAUAGCCACAGAAUUGCGGCAGUGAAGACUUUGACCUGGGAUUUAGUUGACAACAUCGGCCUGUCGUAGACUCUCCGUGCAACGUUGGCACGGUCAAAAACAACUCAUAUAUAAUAUUAUCGUCGUAGACCUGUGGAAAUGCUUUCGCAGAGGCAGCUUCGAUGCACCAGCCAUGCCUUGGAUCUUGCGUUCGUAAACGUAUAAUAUCUCUCCCCAAGUCAGGUGUUCUUUGAAUGACCCGAAAAGUUGAAGAGCGAAGCUCGACGGACGUACGUUGUUUACUGUUCUUUCUCUUCUUAAAACCCACCCGUAUUCUCUUCUUCUCUAACAUACCUUAUUUGCAUGAAUUUGGAUUGUUAGCAUCAGACGAGAACGAUAAUUAAGUAGCCUCCUUGUCCUGCAAUGACUGGAUCAAAUGAGUGACCACUAGAAGACAAGCCAAGGCGACCAGCUAAAUCUUGAGGUUUGCAGCUGACAUCGAAAGCCCAACCACCAUACUGACAUGGGAGACCGGAGGUGUACACUUCAUGCCACCCACCAUAACCCCAAGACCCAUGAUAAAUAUCAUCACUACGCCAUCAAUGACGUACCUAAUAAUUAUUGUAUCCGUCGAUAAAACAAGGAUCAUCGUAAGAUAUAUAGUCAUCUCAUAUCGAGAUCUUUUAACUUGUACACGCAAUAAGAAACGUCAAGUAUGCUAAAAGCGACUUGCUAGCUCGCAAAGACGAAGUCAAUGGCAGUCGCACAGCCGACGAGCUCAAACUUCCCAGAUCUCCGAGUAUCACAGUAGAAGAUAUCAGUUCGAGAAGUCUUACACGGAUGGUACCACAUGAGCAGGCAGGACGGGAGGGGUUGACUCGGUGACCUGGCCAGAAUCUAAUCCAACCUGUCCCCCAGGACAUGUAUGGUUGGGUUUUCUCCUACCCCCACAUGCAGACUUCCAAGGUGGCGCAGAAUUGAUCGUCCCUCCUCUCUGGCCUCUGCUCCCGACAAAGGCGAAGUCGGAAAGUCCAUGCACGGGAGGGUUUCGGUUUUCCACAAGUUAUUUUUUCCACGGCUACCGCGGAAGAACCACCGUUGGCAAUCGUCUUUUGCUACCUUCAAUCCCGAUCCCAGCUUCGUUUCCAGUUUCCACAAAUCACACGGCAAGUGGACUCUGAUCUGAAGACUAGUAAGAGGACUAGUCCAGUCUAUUUCGUGUCCUUUGGUGUUCUCUUCUCCACACAUAGAUAUUAAACCGUCUCCCUAUAUAUGAAAGAGGGGUGGGUGGCCGCAAUCAACAUUAGCUGUUGGGGGCUGUGCAAUACCAGUAGAAUUCUUCCCCUUCUGCUGCUGCAGAGCAGUUGCUUUCCAUCCGUGAUCUGUCGCGUACGGUGACCAAAACUUGUUCCCUUCCCUUUUUUAAUUCUGCCUCUUCUUUCGCUGCAUGCUUUCUUUCUCGAAAUUAUAUCUGAUGAAUUCUUUUCUUUUUCUUUUCCUCUCGUUUUCUUCUGGCUUCUGCGCGGAACAUGCUGCUUUGAUUCGAUUAGGACCUAUUGUUGUUGCGAUUUUGGUGAAGUUAGAUGCUGGUUUUGCGACCGAUCAUUGAAGUAUUGCAUGUGAAGCUGUGGAUUUUGCAUGGUUGAUCCCUGAGUAAUUUGGUUCGGAUUUAACAUAAAAUUCCUACAGAGAGGGCUCUGUUUUGCCCCCCAAAAAAAUCCGUGAUUUAUCAUAUGGAAAGCAUGAGUUUUGGAGCAAACCAUUUGUUUUUGGGUGCUCUUUGUGUUCUAGACUACCUCUAAACUCUUUCAUGAAGGUUGUCAGAGCUAAACCUGCGUGUGAUGCUCACUGUUGAAAAUUUAAAAGUAUAAUUGUUCUAUAGGCGAGAUUUGGAGAGAUAGUAUGAGCUUAUUGUUUUCCUUGGUUUUAUAGAACCAUGGUUUGUCUGACACGAGAAACACAAUCCUUUUCGUUUUCUGGCAGAGGCAAAAAUCAUCAUCCCGAAAUCGCUCGACAUCACAAGGAAUAAUUCCUGAGCGUGAUGGUAUCUGGUGUGCCCGGUGGUGCAGUCAUGGAGAGGUCAUUAAGCUUCAAGAACUGGGAACCUGGCGUCACUGAGCUCGAUCGAUCUUUCUCCGAACAAGCCACAGAUUAUGUGGCAGCGCAGCCAUCUAGUCUCAAGGUCCCGGUGAACUUCGUGCUGCCUCAUGUGAAGCUUCCGGAGCAGCUCCCUGCGUUUUCCUCACCGAGGCCUUUGAGAGAGCUCGACGCUGCGGCAAUUACGUUGCAAAAGGUCUACAAGAGCUAUCGAACCAGAAGAAAUCUUGCAGAUUGUGCAGUAGUAGUCGAGGAACUCUGGUGGGCCUCUGACUUCAGCUUGUCACUUCCAGGAUUUGUGCUGCUCCUUUACCUCACUCUAAAUCCUUCUCCUCCUCCUCUGACUGUAGGUGGAAGGCACUGGAUUUUGCAUCUCUUAAGAGUAGCUCUGUCUCGUUCUUCCGCGUCGAGAAGCCAGAAACAGCGGUUUCUAAAUGGACAAGGGCGAAAAAAAGAUUAGCCAAGGUAAUUGGGUUGUUUGCUUCUAUCUACACAAUUCAAUCAAAUUGAUGUACGUGUCCAUCUUUCUCAGGUUGGUAAGGGUCUGUCCAAAGACGAAAAAGCUCAGAAACUAGCACUAAGGCACUGGCUCGAAGCUGUAAGCAUGGUCUUACGGAACCUAAUUAGAACUUUACAUGAGUGGUUCAACGGACAAUGAUUCCUUCCGUGUUGUGCUCUGCAGAUUGAUCCACGGCAUCGCUAUGGGCACAAUUUGCAUUUAUAUUAUGAUGUCUGGUUCGCCAGUGAGAGCACCCAACCAUUCUUCUACUGGUAAAACCAAGAACCAUGCAUGCUCAUCCCGUUCAUUUGGAGAUUCAUGGUUGUAUGAUGUGGAGCCUUGGUUUGCUCAUCCCGUUUGAUGAAUAUCAAGGUUGGAUGUCGGAGAUGGAAGAGGAGUAAAUAUCGACGAGUGCCCAAGAAGCAAGCUUCAAAAGCAGCUCAUCACUUAUCUUGGUCCGGUAAGCUCCUUUCUCUAGCUCAAGGACACUUGAAUUGUCCGGAGUUGCCAUUCUGUGACAACUUCGCCAAAUUGAUUCCAGAUGUUUAUGCUCUGGAAGCAUACCUGAUCGCAUACUAUGUUCAUCUCCUCGCAGAAAGAGAGAGAAGCUUAUGAGGUCUCCGUCCGGAACGGGAAGCUUGUCUACAAGCAAAGUGAGAGGCUUUUGAACACUCCGCAAGGAUCCAAGUGGAUAUUCGUGCUCAGCACAUCAAGAUCAUUAUAUGUGGGAAAGGUGAAAAAGAUCAUGCAUAUUUUGGACGCGGAUAUCCAAUUAGAUGAAACUUCAUGACGUAUUUAUCUUGUGUGGUUCGCUGCCUGUUGAGCUUACCAAGUCCUUUUGGUGUUUUUCUCCAUGGCAGAAGAAGAGGGGCACAUUCCAACACUCGAGCUUCCUAGCUGGGGGAGCUACAACAGCUGCCGGAAGGCUCGUUGCCGAAGAGGGCGUCCUGGAGGUACGAUCACAUAGCUGCACACAACCUGAGUAGUCCAGGAAAGCAGCAGCAAAACAGCUUAAACUUUACAGACCUUGAUGUUGAUUGUGAUCCUUGAUAUAUCCUGUUUAAGUUCUUACGAGUUGCUAAUUACCUCAGGCUGUAUGGCCGUACAGCGGCCACUACCUCCCGACCGAGUAUCAUUUUGGGGAGUUCAUUAGUUUCCUCAGGGACAACCAUGUAGAUCUGACCAAUGUCCAGGUAAAUCUGCAGUCUUCCUUUGUGGUGUUCGUUUCGACGAACAUUGUAAUAGGUAGUCCGGAGAAGAGGUCAUCCAAUUGGAAGAUUUAUCACUAAAUUAGACAGAUGUUUGGCAAGCAAACAAAGAUUGCAUGAUCGACGGCAUAGUGUAGUCCGCUUGCAUGCAUGACCAAAACACACAAUUUUUUGCAUUUCAGAGACGCUCCGUCGACGAUGAUAAGAUACCUGCCUACAGCAACGAUAAUAGUGAGGCAGCAGUUGAAGCAGAAGCAGAGGCGGCUGCGGUGGAAGAGAUUGCUGAGAGUGAAACUAAAGUUGAUAGCAAAGAGGCUGCAAGGGAAGAGAGCGUGGAGAAGGAAGUGGAGUUUGCACUGGGGAGGCGCCUGUCGUGCAAAUGGACUACCGGCGCCGGUGCUCGCAUCGGGUGCGUCCGGGACUACCCGACCGAUCUGCAGUUCAAGGCACUGGAGCAAGUCAACCUGUCACCCAGGCUCAUUCCUUCGCCCAUUGGGAACAAGACCCCCAUCCCUUCACCACGACCCAGCCGCGAGCACAAGCUGUCCCCCAGGCUUCAGUUCAUGGGCCAUCCUACCCCCGUUUUCUCCCCUACUCUUCCCAAGCCCAACAAGUGACGUGAGAGGCUCGCAGAAGACGCCGGAGAAGUACCCGCGCCGAACAGACCUACAAUACUUGUUUGUUCGUCAACGCUUCGUUGGUAAAGCUGAAGCGGCUUUUGCUUUCUCUGCUCCUUUCUGGAGCGCUCUGAUGUUUGUUCAGUUUAAAUGUAACGGAGAAAGUUGCUAUAUUUUGUAGAUUAAAUACGACCGGCAAUGUGGAAAUCCCUAACAAAACAACUCAAACAUAUGAAUUCAGCGAGGCAAUCGUAAGACCCUGAAUCUUUCGAUGAACAUCUCUAGAACCGACAUCAACAUCAAACAAAACUCCGUAGGAAUCGAACUGCAGUUAUCUGUGUUUAGCUGACUACAUCUUGGAACAAGAGAUUAAAAGAAGGACAAGUGCGUCGCGAAAUCAGAAGCUUGAGCCAGCCGAAGAAACGCCACCAAAAGCAACGACGACAAGCGUCUAGAAGCGAAACACGAUAAGCGCAUCACAAAGGAAAAUAAGCGAAAUAAUGAUGAAAUAGAAUCCAAAUUACAUCGACGUACUACGCGUCUAUAAAAUCACACCCCAUACUCUCCUAUGCAUCCAUUAUUUAUCAACGAAACCCUCCUGCACAUCGAACAAUGCAGCACAAAUAGCCAACGUAGUGUCGCACGAUCACCAGAUCGCAAGGAAAGGAUCGACUGCGCUCAGCGGCGGAGGGGCCCGAGGAGGAGAGCGGCGGCGGAGGAGGCGAGGAGCGUGACGCCGAGCAGGGGAGAGAGGGUUCCGGCUGCGGAUGUGGGGCUAACGGCGGGAGCGUCGGCAGCGGAGGCGACGCCAGCGAGAAGAGCGACGGAGACCACCGAAGCGAUGCGGAUCGCCACGGCUCUGGCACCGAAGGCCGCCAUGGCGUCGACUGCCGUUUCUGCGAGCGACGGUGG